rnacentral:lncRNA from 1 species
ACGAAAUUUCUUUCAGUCAUACUUAUGACACUUCUAUGACGAUAAUUGUGACAAAACCCGGUAUCAUCAUAGAUGUGGUGGGCUCCUACUUCUAUGUCAAAAAAUCAUGACAAAAAAUGGGCUUUUCGUCCUGGGCGGGCCGGAGACGCAGCUGCGUGACAUUCUUUGGGCCGUCCAUGACGGGAAAAAACGUGGUAGAAGCGAUGGCUAGGAAAAUAUCGGGGUGUUCCCGGUUACCGUGGGUGGUCGGGGCCGAGCAAUGCACGGAGGUUUGCGUGUUUCUCUCGUACAUGCACGCGCGUGGGUGCGAGGCGUUGGGCUCUAAUUGAACCCGAGCGAGGCAUUCGCCUACCGAACCCGAGCGAUUGCACUGCAGGCUACGCGUUACUGAACCUGAGUGAUCGAUCGAUGGCUGUUAACUGAACCUGAUCAAGCGAUUCCUUCGCUACUGCUGCUAACUAAAGCCGAUCGAUGCUGUCUCUGGAUGAACAGUGAGCGUUGCUUGGGGGUUUGGAUGAAUAGUUCCCGGUGGGGGUGGAUGAACAAGACCCCGUGGUGUUGCCUCUGGAUGAACAGGACCCCGAUCGAGCCGGUUGGGGCUAGAUGAAUAGGACCCCGUGGAGGGCUGGAUGAACAGGACGACCCCGUGGAGGGCUGGAUGAAUAGUAGACGGUGGAGGGCUGGAUGAACAGUAGCCCGUGGAGGGGUGGUUGAACAGGAGCCCGUGGAGAGGGCUGGUUGAACAGUAGCCGGUGGAGUAGCGCGCGGUGGAGGCUGGAUGAACAGGAGCCCGUGGAUGAACAGUCGCAGGUGGAGGCUGGAGGAGGUCGACGGUUGAUGAACAGUAGCCCGUGCAGGCUGGAGGGGGUCGACGAUGAAGAUGAACAAUAUCCCGUGGAGUCCCGUUUUGCGGUACGCCACACCCCUCCAGAUGAACAGGACCCCCGUUUCGACCGUAGUGCUCCAACACAAGUCCGUUUCCUCCGUUUUGCGGUACGCCACACCCCUCCCGAUCAACAGGACCCCGUUUCGACCGUAGGAGGUCCAACACAAGUCCGUUUCCUCCAUUUUGCGGUACGCCAGACCCCUCGCAAUGAACAGGAUCCCGUUUCGAACGUGGCCGGUCGAACACAAGGCCGUUUCCUGCGUUGUGCGGUACGCCAGGCCUCGUAUCCAUUGGCUAUUCCAUCCAAGCCGGUUGGCUCCCACACAUUCUGUUGCCUCUCGAUGAACACGACGCAUUCCGUUGCCUCCCCAUGAACAUGACGAUGACGCAGUUUCUCCGUUUCGACCCAGCCAUGUACAUGAGCCCUGGCCGUACGUACGCGCGAGUAGGCGUUCGAGACCCCGCCCAUAUGUACGUACGUGGCCGUAUUUACUUUCUUGCACCCUGGCCGCUGUACGUAUGUGUACAUGCUACAUGUGCGCCUCUACUACGACACGUGCGCGCCUCUACAUCGACCAGUAUGUACGUACACGUUCGCGGCCAGAAUGACAACGCUACGUACGCUUCGACCAGGUGGGUCCCGACUGUCAGGCACUUCCUUGUGUGCGAAGAUGUAGCUUGUGGGUCCUAGCAGUCAGGGGGUGAAUCGUUUUUUUGCCCGAAUGCACUUUCUUGCGUGCGAAGAUGUAGUUGGUGGGUCCCAGCAGUCAGGGAGGAAACAUUUUUUUUUGCAAAAUACGGUUGCCCAUCCGAUUGGUCCCUGCAGUCAGGUGGAGGAAUCAUUAUUUUCCGCGUAAUAAGGAGGCACUUCCUUGCUGCGGCCAUGGACCCAGCUGUCAGCCUCUCCACGUACAGUACUCUUUCGAUGGAAGUCGGUCGUUGACCACAUUUACCACGCCGUGCCGAGAGCACCAAGCCGGUGGACGACAGCGAGGCCUAGGGAGGGAACGACGCGGAGCCGGGGAAGACGCGGCAGUGGAUGCCCACGCGGAGAGGACUACGAGGGUUCACUGGUUCGGCUGCGGUGUGAGGCUGCCAUCGCCGCAGAAUAACAGGGGGUCUGGGUGAGUAGAGGGAUGGCCUGGCCAGCGGUGGGAGUAGUAGGGGGCGGUGAGGCCUCCGCGGCAUCACAGCCGGCCACGGGAGGUAGGAGCACGCGGCACGGCCGGCGCUGGUUUGGGCGGCUGGAGCAACAAGACCAGAGGUUGAAGAAGCACUAUGGUCGUUGGAUGAACAUCGUAUGGUAACUGGAGCUAGAAUCGUUCAUAUUAACUAAGUUGACAAAGCCCUCCGUCCCCGUCAACUUGGUAGGCCCACAAGUCAGCCUCCCACUAUGUUGGGUUCCAGCUGGCAGGGGCAGUAUUCAUUUUUUUUGUGCGUAAUAAGGAGGCACUUCCUUGCGUGCGAAGAUAGCUGGUGGGUCCGACCUGUCAGCGGGGGGCACAUUUUUUCGCGAAAUAUAGAGGCCCUUCCGGUGGGUCCUAGAUGUCAGGUGGAGGAAUCAUUAUUUUGCGCCUAAUAAGGAGGCAUUUCCUUGUGUGCGGCCGUGGACCCAGCUGUCAGCCUCUCCACGUACAGUCCACGUCCGAUGGAUGUCGUUCGUUGACCACGUUGACCAGGCCGCGCCGAGAGCACCAUGGCGGUGGACGACGGCGAGGCCUAGGAAGGGAACGACAUGGAGCCGGGGAAGACUCGGCAAUGGUUGCCCACACGGUGGGGAGUAUGAGGGUUUACUGGUCCGGCUGCCAUCGCCGGAAAAUAAUAGGAGGUGUGGGUGAGUAGAUGAAUGGCCUGGCUAGCAAUGAAGUAGGGUGGGGCGGUGCGGCCUGUGCAGCAGCACAGGCAGCCACGGGAGGCGGGAGCAGGCAGUCCCACCGGCACUGGCUUGGGCGGCUGGAGCAAGAAGAUCAGAUAUUGAAGAAGCAGCACGGCCGUUAGAUUAACAUCCAACGGUAACUGCUGCUAGAAUCGUUUGUGGACUAAGUUGACAAAGCCUUUCAUACACGUCAACCUAGUAGACCCACAAGUCAGCCUCCAAAUCUAUCCCAAACAGCAUACAACCCGAAAUUUCUAGCCAGUUCAAAUUAAUUUUAAAACUAAAUAUACCUUAAUUUAAAUUCAAUGAAAUUUUACCCACACAAAAACAAUGAAAUUUAAAAUAUCAAAAUCCGAAAGAAAAAAGUAUUUUGGAACUAAUUGCCUGUUUGCAAAAAACAAAAUAGCUGGCUAGCCAUUUUCAGAAAGGAAAAAAACAAACUGGGCUGGUCAUGUGCUAAACAUAUGCAAUAAAAGCCUGGUCUAGACGGGCUACAGCUCCCGCACAACCCAGUUGAUACCCUUCUCCGUCCCGAAAAAACAAAAUUACUGCGCACGCUGCUGGGUCCCUAUUGUCAUCCUCACCAUGUACAGUCAUCUCCUUAUUCCUCUCGGUUGUUGACCAUGUUGACAACACCAGAGGGCGGCGCCGCGGCAAGCGAACCAAGGCGGAGGACGAUGGUGAGGCCUCGGACGGGAACGAACAGGAGCCGGGGAAGAUGCACAAAGUUUAGGGUGCGAUGUGGCCACAAUGCGUGCGCGGCAGCACAGCCAGCCGUGGGAGGCGGGAGCAGGCGGUCCCGCCGGCGCUGGUUUGGCUUUGGCGGCUCGAGGAAGAAGAGACUGAAGAAACACGACAGACGUUGAAUGUCAAUCCAACGGUCAAGGGUGACACAAUCGUUUGUUGACUAAGCCGACACCAAGUAGCAUACUUUUUUAUAUAUAGGAAGAAAAUAAAAACUGGGCUCGUUCGCCUGAUAACAUUCCCGAAACUGCGACCGUUCGAUCUUGUGUCGCAACUAAAACUGCGAGGAAAAUGCGUUCAUCUGCCGUCCUCCUCCCAGGGAACGUUCGCCACACAAGUGACUAGCACCCUUGGUUUUCAACUGAGAGGUCUUGGGUUCGAGUCCCAGGAACUCUCAAUUUUUUCCUCCUUCCUUCCUCGCCAAAAAAGGGAAAGAAAAUCAAAGACUUGAGAAGGCGUACAGAACAAGCUAGUGUACCAGUAAAGAGACGUUGCUGAGUUUUAGAAUAAUCGAAAACAUUGAGCCCGGGAUUGUCUUCACCCACCUCUUUGCUAAGCUGAUCAGCUAUUUCAAUGUAUUUUGAGCAGAAUGUCAACGCUGCUGAAGCAAUGUAGGCCUCUGCAAUGGAAUCCUCGGGUCUAGCUCUGUUCCUAACAUAGCCCUUGAAAGUGCCUAGCCGCCUUUCAAUAGGGUACAUCCAGCCAUACUGUACUGGACCUCUAAGUAGUGCCUCAUCAGGUAGAUGAACAGCCAAAUGCACCAUCACAUCAAAGAAUGAUGGAGGAUAUAUCUUCUCAAGGUCACAUAGGAUAGUUGGUAUCUUGUCUCUAAGAUGCUCCAAAGCAUCUAUCCUGAUAUUUCUAUUGCAGAGUUCCCUGAAGAAUUGUCCCAACUCUGCAACUGCUCUAUAUAAGUCAGGGCGGCCCAAUCCUCUAAGGAUAACAGGUAAAACCCUUUGAAGUAGGACGUGGCAGUCAUGAGUUUUCAACCCUUGUACCUUGUUUCCAUUUGCACUAACUCUUCUUUCAGGGUUGGAAGCAAAUCCAUGUGGGAAUCUCACACGUGACAAGACCUCGCAGAAUUCUUUCCUUUUUACCUUAUCUAGGACGUACACAGCUGGUGCCAUAUCCCGUGGUUUACCUUCAUCUUGCACCUGCAAAUCAUGUCUGAUGCCCAGGUGUGUCAAAUCAAUCCUAGAUUUUACAGUAUCUUUCGUCUUGCCUUCAAUAUUAAGAAGUGUGCUGAUAAUGCUGUCACAUCUAUUUUUCUCGAUGUGCAUCACAUCAAGAUUAUGCCGCAGAUCCAAAUCUUUCCAAUACUCCAUGUCCCACAAAGUGGACCUGCAGGUAAACAAUAAUCUCUCUUCUGCCCUGCCAUGCUUCCUUUUCCCGCUACCAUUACCAGGAUGGUUUCCUGGUGUAAUAUGCCUGACCUUCUCUAAUUCCACUUGCAACUCAUCGGCGGUGAGCCUCUUUGGCGCAUCUCGGUUUUCAUGCUUUGCAUUGAACACAUGUCUUCGGUAUUUUCUAGGAUGCGGCUUGUCCUUGGCAAGGAAACGGUGGUGUCGAAUGUAACAGAUCUUGCUAAGUAUUUAUUGCGUAUGACAGCGGAUUCCGAUCACAGCGAACACAUGCAUUGUAACCAUGUAUCGUUCACCCUGACAUAGUGCCCAAAGCCGGAUAAUCAUGGAUUGACCAAAUUAUAACAGCACGCAGAAAGAAAUCAGCUGGUGGGCUGCUAUAUAGGUCUCGAGUGAGAACACCCCUCCAUAGCUGUUGAAGUUCCUCCACAAGAGGCUCCAUGAACAAAUCAAAAUCCUUUCCAGGACUUUUUGGACCUGGGAUGAGCAAGGCCAUCAUGUAGUUUGAUUCUUUGGUGCAGACAUUUGGAGGCAUGUUGUAAGGGAUAACAAGCACUGGCCACAUGCUAUAUGUGGCGCUCUGGUGGCCAAAUGGGUUAAAUCCAUCUGAAGCUAAGCCAAGUCUAAUGUUUCUCGGGUCAGCAGCAAACUUUUUGUGUUUAUGAUUGAAGCUUUUCCACUCACUGCCAUUAGAUGGAUGGCUCAUUACAUUCUGAUCUCUGUACUCCUAGUUCCUAGAAUGCCACAGUACAUCCUCUCUUGUUUCAGCAUCAUGAAACAACCUCUGCAAUCUUGGUAUAAUUGGAAAAUGUCUCAGAACAUUAUGAGGAAUCCUCUUCACAGCAUCGCCAUCUUUCCAUCUUGAUGAUUUGCAUUUCGGGCAUUCACUUAAGUUGGCAUAAUCCUUCCAGAACAGAACACAAUUAUUCUUACAAACAUGGAUCAUAUCAUAUCCAAUUCCAACUGCACAAAGGAAAUUCUUCAUUUUACUGUAGGUGUGUGGCAGCUCAGACGCAUCUGGGAAAGAUUUGCGGAAAGCAGCCAGCAUCGCAUCGAAUGAUUUGUUGGUCAUCCGCUCAGAUGUCUUCACCUGAAGAAAGGUGACCAUAGCUGAGAAUAAUGAUAGCUUAUUUCCUGGGGUGACAGCCACGUUGCAUUGUUCCAACAUGCGGGCCCACCGUUUUUCUUCUGCAGGUGAAAGUUCACGGAAUGCACGAGCAUUUCGUAGCAUUGUUUCAAUGUUGGUCAAACUCACUCGCUCCGCCACCACCUCCUCCUCCUCCUCUUCCACCUGAGCAUCAGGCAGAUCAGGAUGGUGAUCUGCUGCUUCCACGUAGUCAAUAACAUUGACGUUCACAGCUUCACCAUGAUGAACCCACCUAGUAUAUGUGACCGACAUCCCAUAUAAGUGUAGAUGAUUUUGCACGGUUGACCGGGGUCUUGUAACUGAAUUCAUACAACUGCUACAGGGGCAUAGCACAUCUGAUUUCGGACCACCGUACUCAGCUCUGAUAAAAUUCAUGAAGUUUUCAACCCCCUCGACAUAUGCAGCGGAGAAUCUUCGAGCAGAAGUUAUCCAAGUCCUGUCCAUCUGUUAGACAUACAAAUUAGUUCUUCUACUAGAUAUUACAGCAAAAACAUAUAUGCUUUUUUAUGAAGUCCAGAAAAAAUAACUAGGUCGAUGUCUAAAGCUAUGGCAAGAUAUUUGGACGAGCAGAUCUAAGUAACGUAAUAUAUGUAAAGCUAAUUCAGCAAACAGAUUUGAGUGCUAAAUUAUGGCAGGCUGUUUCAGCAGUCAAUGAGGCCGAGCACACAGCCAUCGAACUAUCGAAGGCCAUUGCAGCAACAAAGAUCGAGUAUAAAAUGGUGUAGAGCUAUUUCACCUAACAGAUUGGCUACUAGACCAUGGCAAUCUACGUCACAAUAAAUAUAUGGCAGGAUAUUUUAGCAACUAAUCGGCCUUGGCAUGCCAUCUCAGCUAAGCAUAUUGAUUGGAGAACAGGGCAAGGAAGCUUCUUAAGCACAGCAUAUUGACUGUAAACUACUUCGGCAAACAGUGAGAUUAACAGCGUCUAUCAGCUAACAUUCAACGCUACACUGACAUGCACGGGGCCUCAGUCUAGAAUGCGCGUACCGUGGGAGAAGUUGACCGCCGUGCGUCUCCACACGAAAGUCGCCAGCGGUGGCGGCGCUGACCGCCGUGUGCCUCCACAAGAACGUUGCCAGCGGUGGCGGUGCGGCUAGAGGACGGUAGUCUACGAGAGCGUACUGUGGGAGCGAGAGGAUCGCCGUGCGUCCCCUCGACGAACCGCGGCGCCGACGUAUCGNNNNNNNNNNNNNNNNNNNNNNNNNNNNNNNNNNNNNNNNNNNNNNNNNNNNNNNNNNNNNNNNNNNNNNNNNNNNNNNNNNNNNNNNNNNNNNNNNNNNNNNNNNNNNNNNNNNNNNNNNNNNNNNNNNNNNNNNNNNNNNNNNNNNNNNNNNNNNNNNNNNNNNNNNNNNNNNNNNNNNNNNNNNNNNNNNNNNNNNNNNNNNNNNNNNNNNNNNNNNNNNNNNNNNNNNNNNNNNNNNNNNNNNNNNNNNNNNNNNNNNNNNNNNNNNNNNNNNNNNNNNNNNGUUUGGGGAAUAUUAUUGGCUAGUUGGCCGAAGGGCGGUUGAAUAUAGGAUUUGGGGGGGAUUUUUGGGUGGGGGGAGGAUUUUUGCGCGGUGGGCGGGGGGAGUUUGGCUCAUGGUCGGUUUCUCCAAGUGCAGUCCCACGUGUCAGUGAAGAGGCAAGCCGAAGCGCGUUCCGUUUGCGUGAGCCGUGUGCAGGACCGUGUGUGGGGUGCAAUGCGACCGCGACAGGGGUGUUGUGAGUGUACCGCCUUUUUUCCUUUUAAAUAGGUGCUUCGCCCCCUCAAAAAAAAAACUUGUUGCUUCGCGCGAUCAAUCGAUACUACUACUAGUAAUCCGGUAAUCCCAACUAAAACGGCGCGGCCGGGUCUUUUCCCGCGCGAUAUGCUGGGAGGUUGGCUUAGUUGGGUUUUUUAGGACGAGUAAUGCUACACCUACGUAAUCCCAGUUACGUAAUUAACGUAAUGUGAAACGUGUGAGCUGUUGAUUGUAGAUUGGGUGGAGGGAGGGGCCCACCACCAUGAAAAUCAGGGGAGGAGAGAGAGAGGCAAUUUACGUUAACCCUUUCGUAGGUUCCCAUAGAUGUAGAAAGAUGUGAAAUGCGUGAAUGUGUAGUGGACGUACUAUUGGAGUGCCUAAGAUAAAUUGUGUAUGUAUAGACCCUAUGUGUUUAUUUUACUUCGCAUGUUAUCUUUGUCUCGGUUCAAUAAAAAGCAGAGUUGGUGAUGAUGGUGUGCCUGUCAUCCUGCAAUAUAGGCCGUCCGAUCUAUAUCUAACGGAUAGGAAGGAAACUAUGACAAUUUACCCGCACUCCUCUCCACAUUUGCAGAUAAGGCCUUCCCUCGUUCAUCCUUUUCUCCCACAAGAUCUUGAUCUUCCGUGCAACGCACGGGCAUGUUGCUAGUACUCCUAUAAUAUACUAUAUUAUUGUGAAAGUUCAUAUACACCGGCCGAGAUUAAUGCAAACACGACAGAUUUUCAUUACAUUUCGAACUUUAUAGGACAGAAAAAUAAAAGAAACCCGACCCUAAACCUAUUCUACGGCGGCGACCGACGUCCUCCAUCUGUGAUCUCUAUGUAUGGGGGCGGGGUUCAAGACCCAUGAAGUGAAGGUGCGGUCUCCGGCGAGGAAGAGUAGAACACGGGAUACGGACCGGCCAGUUGGCACACCAUGCCCUGCCGCCUCCCAUGCCCUACUCAUCCUCGGAGGAGUCCCCGACUGAUACGUCUCCAACGUAUCUAUAAUUUUUGAUUGCUCCAUGCUAUAUUAUCUACUGUUUUGGACAUUAUUGGGCUUUAUUAUUCACUUUUAUAUUACUUUUGGGACUAACCUAUUAACCGGAGGCCCAGCCCAGAAUUGCUGUUUUUGCCUAUUUCAGAGUUUCGUAGAAAAGGAAUAUCAAACGGAGUCCAAAUGGAAUGAAACCUUCGGGAACGUGAUUUUUAGGAAGAUUAUGAUCCGGGAGACUUGGACCCUAUGUCAAGAAACAAAAGAGGAGGCCACGAGGUAGGGGGGCGCGCCCACCCCCCCAGGGCGCGCCCUCCACCCUCGUGGCCCCCUGUUACUCCACCGACUUACUCCUUCCUCCUAUGUAUACCUACGUACCCCCAAACAAUCAGAUACGGAGCCAAAAACCUAAUUCCACCGCCGCAACCUUCUGUACCCACGAGAUCCCAUCUUGGGGCCUAUUCCGGAGCUCCGCCGGAGGGGGCAUCCAUCACGGAGGGCUUCUACAUCAACACCAUAGCCUCUCCGAUGAAGUGUGAGUAGUUUACCUCAGACCUUCGGGUCCAUAGUUAGUAGCUAGAUGGCUUAUUCUCUCUUUUUGGAUAUCAAUACAAUGUUCUCCCCCUCUCUCGUGGAGAUCUAUUUGAUGUAAUCUUCUUUUUGCGGUGUGUUUGUUGAGACCGAUGAAUUGUGGGUUUAUGAUCAAGAUUAUCUAUGAACAAUAUUUGAAUCUUCUCUGCAUUCUUUUAUGUAUGAUUGGUUAUCUUUGCAAGUCUCUUCGAAUUAUCAGUUUGGUUUGGCCUACUAGAUUGGUUUUUCUUGCAAUGGGAGAAGUGCUUAGCUUUGGGUUCAAUCUUGCGGUGUCCUUUCCCAGUGACAGUAGGGGCAGCAAGGCACAUAUUGUAUUGUUGCCAUCGAGGAUAACAAGAUGGGGUUUUUAUCAUAUUGCAUGAAUUUAUCCCUCCACAUCAUGUCAUCUUGCUUAAAGCGUUAAUCUGUUUUCAUGAACUUAAUACUCUAGAUGCAUGCUGGAUAGCGGUCGAUGAGUGGAGUAAUAGUAGAUGCAGGCAGGAGUCGGUCUACUUGUCUUGGACGUGAUGCCUAUAUACAUGAUCAUACCUAGAUAUUCUCAUAACUAUGCUCAAUUCUGUCAAUUGCUCAACAGUAAUUCGUUCACCCACAGUAAAAUACUUAUGCUCUUGAGAAAAGCCAAUAGUGAAACCUAUGGCCCCCGGGUCUAUCUUCAUCAUAUUAAUCUUCCAACACUUUAUUAUUGCCUUUGCUUUUUUACUUUGCUUUUAUUUUACUUUGCAUCUUUAUCAUAAAAAUACCAAAAAUAUUAUCCUAUCAUAUCUAUCAGAUCUCACUCUCGUAAGUGACCGUGAAGGGAUUGACAACCCCUUAUCGCGUUGGUUGCAAGGAUUUAUUUGUAUUGUGCAGGUGUGAGGGACUCGCGCGUAGCCUCCUACUGGAUUGAUACCUUGGUUCUCAAACACUAAGGGAAAUACUUACGCUACUUUGCUGCAUCACCCUUUCCUCUUCAAGGGAAAACCAACGCAGUGCUCGAGAGGUAGCACCGACCUCGGCGGUGCCGGACGUUGGACGGUGGCAAGUAGGAUGCGUGGCUGACGGUGCUCCCGUCGUCGGCCGCCAGCGUGGUCACCGCUUGUGCGGUCGCGUCCGCGUCCGGCUACGCCGCUAUUGCGUCGCAAGAGGCGACUUGAGCGAGGGCGGCGACCUCGAGCUUCAUCCCCAAAGACAAGCUCUCCCGCAGAGCGUUCGCGCUUGCGGUCAUGGCGGAUGUGGUGCCAGGUAGGAGGACGAUGCGCUAUGGUGUGGAGGUUAGCUGGGCGUUGCCGCUUUAAGUAGCGCAUUCCCGUGAGGUCAAGCGUCCUGGUGCGUCAUUAAGUCGCCGAAGUUGGUUCCUCGAGCACCGAGCCUCUUAACAACGGCAUACGGAUGGACGACAUGAAUGCGGGAAGCUGGCGCCGGCUGGGAACACACCGCGCGACGGCGCGAGGGACGAGGGUUUUUGGUGUGCCAGGGUAGCCAGCUGCAGUCGUGGCGACGUUGGAGAUGCCCUUUGCUCACAUGCGAUCCCCGCAUGUCAUUGAAAAAGCAAGAUGACCCGGCAUGGUCUCAGGUCCUGAGGAUGCAGUUGGCCACGCUACACCACUCCGCGGACGCGUCACGGCGCCCCGUGCAUCCUCGACGAGCCGGGUGUUGGGGUGUGUUUGGAUUGUGGCCAAAGUGCACCUUACCAAAAUUUUGGUCAUGACCCAAAUAUUGGUCUUUGUUUGGAUGGUUGCCAUUUUUUAGCAUGCCAAUGAACUCUAGCCAACUCUAGUUCAUUUUUCUUGCCAAUGUCGGCCAAAUCAUGGCAACCAAAACCUCAACCAAAACUUUGGCUACCCAAUGCUUUGAUGGGGCAACCUUGGGCACAAACCAAACAUACUGUUGAUCGUGCCACAGCACUAAUGCCACCCUCGGCACACUGAAACCGACCGUGUCUAGCGACGAUGAGCGUGUCGCUCACCGCGGUCGCCGUGUCCAGAGGCGGUGUUGGAGCUGCGCCACAUUGUUGGCCCCACGACCCACAAGAACGGUUGCCGGUGGCGAGGAGGUCGUGGGCCAGCUCCUCCAUUGGACUAGUCCGUGCUACGUCGUCCCGACUGGUGUGCCCCACAUGUCGGUUUCCCUAUUUUCCCGACCAUAUUCGAGCGUCAGUGCUCCGCGGUGCGCAUUAGGCCUUUCACUAUGUAGGCCAAGCGAGACAACUUAUUGUUUAUUUGAGCCGUUCAAGUAUAAUCAUGUGGCGUUUGCUUAUUUCUCAUUCCUCUCCAACCCUCUUCUCCAUCGAUCAUGUCGCCCUCCGGUCGAGUCCAUCCUCCCGCAUGCCUCAUUUGAACAUUCCACCGAGUAUCAUUCGCAUGUGGGCCUAGACCAUGCUUGUAUUUCCAAUGUUUUGUAAUUUGUCUGACAUGCAUACAAACAAACAGUUCGUUUAAAGUUUCACUUUGCCUCCACUAUGUGUCGCUUCACGUCUUAGUUUUGACAUCCCAUUCAGUUCAUGCCCCGACACAUGUUGACAAGAUCGAUUCAUGUUCAGAGAUCAAUUGCGUGUNNNNNNNNNNNNNNNNNNNNNNNNNNNNNNNNNNNNNNNNNNNNNNNNNNNNNNNNNNNNNNNNNNNNNNNNNNNNNNNNNNNNNNNNNNNNNNNNNNNNNNNNNNNNNNNNNNNNNNNNNNNNNNNNNNNNNNNNNNNNNNNNNNNNNNNNNNNNNNNNNNNNNNNNNNNNNNNNNNNNNNNNNNNNNNNNNNNNNNNNNNNNNNNNNNNNNNNNNNNNNNNNNNNNNNNNNNNNNNNNNNNNNNNNNNNNNNNNNGUACCCACCCUAAUCCUCUUUCAAUCGAUCUCCAGACCCCGAGAUGAAAUCGAGAGAGAACAAGUGGGGGCAUGUGUGAUACCUAAGGCGGAUUCAAAAUUUUGAACCAGUGCAUAGCAUCCGCAAAUCAUAUAUAAAGGGUAUUCAAUGCUCGUUUCGUAUUUUGAAUGUACAAUAUACUCCCUCCUAUCCUUUCUAGUUUACAUAUAAGUUUUAUGUGUAGUCAAAGUAUCUCUACUUUGAUCAAAAAAGUAUCAACAUUCAACAACGCCCAAUCAAUAUUGUUAGAUUCGUACGUACUCCUAGAUUUGUACUCCAGAUGGUUUCCAAUUUGUUUUCAACCACGUGAAUGUGCUUAUUCUCGCGCAUGCUCUUCCUACUAGGAUUUCACCACGUAUAGCCAGUCCAAUAGUAAGUUUUUUAAGCUCUCUGUCCAAUAGUACUAGUGGAGUACUGACAACAUCUGUACUAGAGUAUGCAGUGCUCAUAGUAGUACUCCCUCCUUCCAUUUAUAUAGGGCCUAUGUGGAGGAGAGAGAUGUGAAAAAGUAAGGGGAGUGAGCUCUCAUGCAAGAGCCUAGCUAUAUACGCAUUCGAAGUUAAAUACGAUAAAUAUGAAGAAAGAGAUAGAGAGGAGAUGGAAAAAAGUACUAAUACAAUAGCCAACCUUGUAAAAUUUUUUGCGGGAAAUAGCCAACCUUAUAGCCCACACUACUGUAUGAGUGCAUAUAAUAGAUGAUGGCUAUAGAUGACAUGGCAGUUCCUUAUAGCCAUCGACUGGCUAUAUUAUUAACCAUGCUCUAAUGCGUUUUUCAAAACCGCAUUCGACUAUUGACAAGAUUAAUAGUACAUGAGAUGUAUAAUGUGAAAAUUAUAUCAUUGGAAGCUCCUUUCACAUACGAAUUUGACCAUAUGCUUUGUGUAAGUUGCAUGUCAUAUAUUAUUACUCUAACAUUUGGUCAAAGUUAGCCUCGAGAAACGCAUUAGGCCCUAUAUAGUAAAUGGAAGGAGGGAGUAGUGGUGGAAGUGGAUCCUCUGACGUAGGUAUCCCUGCCUUACCCUCCCUUUCGGUCACUUACUGCCGGACCCCAUGCUUGCUAGGCCCCGCAUGUCAGUUACUCAAUGGGUUCGGCCACGUCAGGGGAUCCUCAUCCGUAGUAUAGUCCCUCUGUUUUUAUUUACUCCGCAUAAAACGGAUGGAGUGGUAGUAUAAAUGACGUGGGCGGGGGAGGGGGAGGGAUGUCGGUUUGCUCUCAACUGCGGCCCCACAAGCGAGCGAAAACACAAGACGAAGCGCGUUCCAUUCGGUGAGCGACGUGGAGGGUCCAGCGUGCCGGGCUGCAAUGUGAACGCGACAAAAGCGAUGUAUAGUCAAAAGCGAUCGAUCGGUCGUCACCGGAACCACUAUUCACACCAGAACCUUCGCUGCUCGGCCUACGCCAGCCACUGCCCUAAAACCACACCUAAUCUCCAGCCCUUUCACCCACCUUUCGAUCCCCUAGCCCGCAUCAAGCGUCCCCUAGUUCGCCGGAAAGCCAUGGUGCGUCGCAAGAUCACGUACUACAAGAUGCUGACGUCGGAGCGCCGCGCAGAAAUCGCGGCGGUGGUCGGCGCCACAGACCUCCGUUCCCAAGCUCGCUUUGCGGCGGGCCAAUCCCCGAGUUCUCUGGAGCCAAGCUACAAGGAGGAGGAAGCUGAUCCAAUGUUCGUGGCGGAGGUCGCGGCGCAGAAGGCCCCCGAUGGGUAUGAGACGAUGGACGCCGACUUCGUGCCGGCAUCCGAGUCCCCCAUGGUGUAGGCGGACCAGCGGUUCAACCUGGCGAUACUAAAGGAGGACCGGGAGGCAGAGGCUCAACUCGACAUGGAGCACGCGCAUGCCGCUGCCAUCGAGGCUCUCCUGCAGGCGGAACCGGAUGUCGUGGAUGUGAACCGGGCGGCGGAGGCUCAACUUGAGGCGGAGCGCGCGGAUGCCGCUGCCAUCGAGGCCCUCCUGCGGGCGGAACCGGACGUCCUGGACUUGAACUGGGCGGCAGAGGCUCAACUCGACGCGGAGCGCGCGGAUGCCGCUCUCAUCGAGGCCCUCCUGCAGGCGGAACCGGACGUCUUAGACUUGAACCGGGUGACGGAGGCUCGACUCAACAUGGAGCGCGCAGAUGCCGCUGCCAUCGAGGCCCUCCUGCAGGCGGAACCGGACGUCCUCGACUUGAACCGGGCGGUGCUCUCAUCCGUGCAGAGCCCCCACAUGCUCCGCGUGAAUGAGUAGCUGGAGGCCGAGGACAACCACGGUGCGGAGACACACGUCGGCAUCUAUGGCUGGUUCGCGUCGGCAGCCAAAGACGACGAGGCCGUCUCGUUCUGCGAGCAGUGAUAGUUUUUCUUUAUGUUGUUGUUUUUUUGGAUCUUUUGUUGUGUAAAAACAUAUAUUGUUAUGCAAGUCGCCUGACUUGGGUCAGUCUACCAUACUCUAUGAACGAAAAUUAUGUGUCAGCGGUAGGAUGGUUGAGUUUUGUUUGUUCACAAGUGACAUCACGUGUCAGUGAGGGUGCGUUCCCUUGGUUGGGUUUGCGGCGUGCAGGAGCGACGGUGCGACCGCGGCGUGCAGGAGCGACCGUGUGAGGGUGCGGUGCGACCGCGAUAGCCGUGCGCAAGUGUACCUCCUUUUCAUUUUGAAACUUUAGGCAAGCUUGGCAAAAAUGUGUGGCGAAGUAUGGCAAUGCAAGGCCUAGACCCAAACAGGAUAAGUACGUACUACAUACUAGGAGUACUAGUGUUAAAAAAGAAAGGCGGGGUUUUCCUUCGCGGGAUUAAUCGAUACAAAUCCUCGUUUCACGUGUCAAUUAAUGCGUAUUUUUUUCUCCAAAGCCCAAAGAGCUAACCAUCUCACUCCUCAUCGCUUGAUUAAUGCAGCGCCAUGCAAACCAACCUUCUCACUUCUGCAUGCAUGCAGGGGAUAUUAAUGUCCUUGGUUGCUAGUACGAGGCAAACCCCAUCAAUUUUGCCUCGAUUAGUGUUAGUGGCCUUUUGCAAAUUGUAAUUUUGAUAUAGUGGCCUUGUGUACAAAAAAAUGGAGGUAGUAACUAUAUUUGACUUCCUUCCCCAUUGCGGUGACGUCGACGAUAUCUCGAACAUUGUGGUUUGGCGAAGUGCGUUCGACGGAGAACACCAUUGAGGGAGACCACGGUAAGUCGUUCGCAAGUGCCGCUUGCAAGCCAAGACAACCGCCUUAUUUGCAUCCAGGAAGUCCGUUGAACCAAAGGACGCGUAAAUGUACUAGUACUACUAGUACACAAUAGCGUCGUCCGUCCAGCUUAGUGCGGUGAGAUGGUUUCUCGAAGAACGCGAUGGAGAAGCAGAGUCAGCGAAGAGUGAAAUGAUGGUUGCUUCGUCCGUGCUUUGUGAUUUGAUGCCUCACUGCUUUGUGAUUUGUGAUAGAAGCGACGGGGGAGUAGACUCUAUGCUCUAUACUGUACAUGCGUCCAAGCAUGGGAGAAAGAGGAGAGACGUUGCAUUUUUCUAUUCCUUCAAUCAAUCAAUCAGGGAGCUUCGGUUCCAUCCUUUUGGCUUUGGCAACACCGUCCACAAUGGUUCCCACGAUGCCAAAAGCUAUUUUCACAUUUGGCUACACAUUGUGGAUGCCCUUAAUCGUACCACUUGGUUUUGCUCCUGUGUGCUAUCCAUACAAAUCUCAAUUAUAUUGAUCUAAAAAAUUAUAGAAUCAAGAUUAGUAAAAAGGAGGUGAUUUUGCCACGCGGAUGGCGGGGGAGGUUUCUUAUUUUUAGAGGACGUUGUCCUGGAGGUUUGCUAACAUGCGGUCCCACAUGUCAGUGCUUUACCAAGACGAUCUGCAUCCCACAUGAGGCAGAACAACGGCAGAAGCAACACGUGGUUAACUUGAAGAAGAUGAGGGAGAAGCGGAUUCAGCAACGAGUGAAAUGAUGGUUGCUUCGUCCCUCCAACUUCUUUUUUUAGCAUUAUUACUUCGUCCCUCCAACUUAACUGCGGGAAAGGUGCAGCUUUGUGAUUUGACGCCUCAUUGCUCAUUACUACGCCGGCGCCCUGACUGGGUGCUUCACCCCGACUACUCUGCACUGUAUUCCGGUAUGGCACAUGGACCCGGUAGCUUGAUGUCCCACAUGUCGGCGAAAGGGACUAGAAGAUUUAUGAAAGCGAGCGCUCCACUCUUACGACAGAGGAGUACACGACACGACGGCCUAGUGAACUGUCACUUGUACUGUAUAGUACUAUAGUUUUGUUGUUUCGCACGAUCCAUCGAUACAAACCCCAUUAAACAGGAAAGGGCAGGAUUUUUCCUGCGCGGUAUAUGAUACUGGCCAUACAUUUCAAAGGCAAUUUUAAUGUAUGCAAACUGAAUAAUUAAAUAACAAUAUGAUAUCUAGUAAAAUUAAAAACACAUAUGAUUUAUUGUGUUAGAGUGUAGUAGUAGUGCUGUAUUGCAUAGUUGUUAGAUGUAACAUGAGAGAACGUGUAGAGAUGUAGUUUUGGAGGGCCUGCAGAGAGAAAAGCGUAAUACGGUCACCGAACUUCAGAAUAAGCUGAUUACGGUCACUAUAUACGUUUUGCGGUGAUUAUACGGUCACUUGCUCACGGUUCAGCAUCGGAUUGCACUCUGUUGACCGGCCAAAUAGUCUGCGUGGCACCAUGUUGACUAGUUAAAUUGACCAUGUUCCUUGUGGGUCCCACCUGUCAGUUCGCAUAGGGAAAAGGUCAGAUAAACACAAAUUAACGCAGGCGCGACAAGACUCCAACCCGUGCGCGGGAAUCACCUGGUUGUGUAUGUGUCUGUCAGGGCCUGAUGUGUGCGCAUGCAUGUGUAGGUUGAGCACUUGAGCAUGAGAGUGUGUGUUGGUCGUGUGGUGUACUGGUGUGUGCAUGCAUGCAUGCAUGUGUGUGUGCGUGUGAGUGUUGCGUGCGUGCAUGGCUGCGUGUGUACGUGUGAGUGUUGCGUGCGUGCGUGGGUGCAUGUGUUCGUGUGAGUGUUGCGUGCACGCAGUUCGUGUGCAUGCGUGCGUGUGUGUAUAAUCAUCACACCAGCUCAUGUGUGUUAAAACAGACGGCUCAGCAUACCAAUACAAGGCCACCUUGUCCGCUGUGCCCGCGGUCAUGACUUCGAACUACCGUCCAAUAUUUUGUUGUCGUUUGUUUUCAUUCUUACUAGCAAGAUGCCCGUGCAUUGCACGUAACAUCAAGAUGCAUUUGUAUGACUAGUUUAUCUUGUGAGAGAAAAGUAUGAACGAGGGAAGGCCUUAUUUGCAAAUGUGGAGAGGUGUGUGGGUACCUUUUUGCAAAAUUGCCAUAGUUUCUUUCCUAUCCGUCAGAUAUAAAUCGGACGGCCUAUAUUGCAGGAUGGCAGGCACACCAUCAUCACCAACUCUGUUUUUUAUAAGAGUGUAGAUGUAGAGUAGAUACAAGCCGCCAGGUGGGCCCGAUGGUAGUGAGAUAAUGUGAUGCAACACUAGAGGUGCCACGUGGAGCGUUUAACUGGUCAACUAGUCGUGUCUUGAGCAAAUACAGAGUUGUACGGUGAGUCCGUGACUGUAUAAUAACCACAAAACGUAAAUGGUGACCGUAAUGAUUGGAUUCUGAAAUCCAAUGUACUUAUCAUGCUUUCGCUUCAAAUACAAUGAUCGUCACUGUAUAUAUCGCGGGAGAAAGAUGAAACAUGCGUGAAUGUGCUGGGGGCUUAUUUUUAGAGGACCUGGAGAUAGUUUGUGUGCGUACGUGAAAGGGGCGUAGAGGGGGGGUAUGCGAUGGAGAGAGAGAUGCUCUUCGUUUCUCUUUAUUAUGACUAACUUUAUAUAUAGUAUAAAAAUAUACAAAUUCACAGUGCGGAAUAAAUAUCAUUGUGGGCACCAUGCAAUGCAAAUUAGCGUUCAUACUCCUCCAUAUAACUUUGUAAUGUUGUAUAUAUGUAGAAAUUUUAAAAUAAUUUUUUGGCCACACUUUAUUAAAAAGGAAUGUUGUAUGCGAAAUAAACGUGAAGAGAGGGAUUUUUAGGUCAAUGGGGUACGUGAUGUAACAUGUGUGAAUGUGUAGUUGAUGCAUUUGGCAGGGCCUAGAGAGGUAUGUGUGUGUAUUACGUAUUCGAGGGAGGCAUGGAUAGAGGGGCCGGCGGGGGCGUGGAGAGAUAGCACGAGAAAUGAGAGUGGUCUAGAGAGAGAGAGACGAAUAUGACGUCACGGUGAGAGAUUCCCUUGAGUGUGUAUAUGCAUGGGGGGAGUGGAUAGAGGCACCAGGAGAAUUUUUUGUGUGUGUGGUGUCUGUGUUGGUAUGUGUGGGUGUGAGAAGAUAACGAUACGUGGGGGCAGAGGGUGUGUCACCGCGUGACGUCCGGUGGGUCGAGGUGAGGCCCUUCGUUCGGUUCCGUCCUGCGGCACAUUGGUCGGCCCGUGACGCAUUUAGGGAGACCCAUGGAUGACUAGUCGUACAAGACAAAAAUAGCAUAAUUGUGAAGGACUCUGUGUCCACUGACAAAGCCGGCUAGGAUUUGUAACCCUGGUUUCUCGGACUAAGGUAACCCCUUUAUCUCUGAUAUUAAUAUUCAUCCAACCUAACUUUAAGGGGCAUCCUACAGAAUGCUCUGCUAGAAUCAUACUCGUCGAUUAGGAAGAGAGGUGUUAGACAAUGCGUGAGAGACAAGCCUAAAGAUAAUGUGUGUACAGGAGACACGUAGGCAGGUCUAUGUAUAUAGAAAGGAUCGAUGGGGAUUGUGCGUGUGUAUGCUUGCGAGAGGAAGAGUGCUUGUGAUAUAGGUUAGUGAAAACAGUCGUAAAUGGUUACGAGAGGGAGGGAGGGUUAUAUCGAGAGCAUGUGUGCGAGAAAGACACAUCGGGAGAGAGUGUGUGAGCAUGUGUGAGAGACCACCGAUGGAGAGUGAAACUACACAUAAAAGACUGUUGUACACAUUGAUUAAAGAUAUAAAUUGUAUCCAAAUAUUAGGAUGGGAUCAUGAUAUUUGCAAUUCGCGUAAGGAACGGUCAUUGAUCCAUCAUACAUCUAGAUUCUAUCGAAUUUGAACAUGUCUAUGUUAUUAUUCGACACAAUUGAUCCACAUAGUUAGUAUUUUGAACUCCAGACAAAGCAUCGCUUUAGCAACCGAAUAUAAACGUGAGUAUAAUUCAUGUUGUGUGUGUAAAGCACAUUAUACAUACGAAAGUUACACAAUGAACAUUAUAAAUAGCUACCUAUGAACUGGCAUACAUUUGAAUUCAACUUAAGGUGGUUUAAAAAAAUUGAAUUCAACAUGAAGUCCAUUCAAUUAUUUGAAUUUGAUAUCAUGGCAUUUGUAAAUCAUACCUAAAUUAUGGGGGCACCAAUCUCUGCUCUGAUUUUGUUAAUAGCAUAUGUAGUCGUGUAGAAAAUAGAUUCAAAUUUAGCUCCUCCAUUCCAAAAUAAUCGUAGUUAUAGGAUUUUCAAGUGUCAAAAUUUCAAAAAGAAGCGGAUAAUUUAAUGAGGUUUUCAAACAUACAAGGUCAAAUUUAACGUUGUCUAUUUAGGUCAAUCCUCAAAGUUCAAGAGUACUCUAAACGUGAAUGCUUGUGUUUCAAAAUUUUGAACGAAGCGCCAAAAGAGCCUCUACUCGCCCGAAACCGCGUGAGACCAAUGUUUGGUAGUACAAGGAAAUUAAUUUUCUAAUAACUCCGACCCGUGAAACCUACCGGCCCGAUGUCCAAAGGUCUAAACCGGGGUAGGUUUGUAGCUUCAUCUAGACGCCACACAACCGCCUCCGAAAAACAUUCAUACAGAAUGGCCGCCUAAGCACACAUGCGUGCGGCCGAAAUCGCUCCCGCCCACUAUUUGGGACACCUGGGAUUAACAUCCUACCCCCGACCCGCAGUAGGUCUGAAAUUUAAGAGGGGGGCAAAGUUUGUACUUUCCCAAAAUUUCAAACAAGCGUGUCCCAUCUUCUGUUCAAAAAAGCCAAAAACAAGCGCGUCCCAGACCGAAACAUGGUUCUCCCCCUCCCCCCGCCCACCCGUCCGAUUCCCCAUUCGUACUUCGUCGGCAAAAAAACUACCUCUCCACCAGCCGCGAAACCCCGGCGUCCUCCGUCCGCCACCCCAUCCCACCCAUCAACCGCCGCCCUCCUCCAUCACGCCGGAGCCAAUACCCCGACGUCGUUGUCCACCGCAACCUCAACCGCAACGCCCUCCAUGCCUAGUAGUUGAAGCCGAGGCCGAGCCAUCCGUACCCGAGCCAGUUCAACCACAACGUCCUGCGCCUCACCGCUGCCGCUCCAACUUCGCCACCCUCCACCGCACCAGAGUUGUUCCUGCUACGCUGUCCUUCGCCGCCUCGGAUCUUCUUCCCCUCCGCCGAUAUAUGGCCACGGCAACACAGUCAACAAUUUGGCCAUGGGUUUGUCCAAGGAUCCACGGUUCUCCAAAACAUCGGUUCCCCCGGGAGAAAAAAUAAGAUCGCCGCGACAUAUGGAGGAGACCACACUAGCAACCGAUAAGGGUACUCCUCUUCCCUUAUUCGUGCAAAUCUUACGUGUCUGCUUGCAUGGUAUUCAUCCCAAAGAAGACACUAGGUGACCGCUUCUUCUUGAUACUAGAUGUUCCUAGUAACUCGCGAUGCACAAGGUUUCUCCUCAUAUACUAUUUCACCUUACCUAGAGGUCCGUCGCCCCCCUGAAUUUCAAUUCCUGGUCAUUUGAUUCCCAAUUAACGGAAGCAUUCCCCGGCGUAACAGGCGCUAGUCCGCCUAUUACGUCGGGGAAGCAGCGCCUCGGUGUUUAUCUUAGGGGCGUGUGGGGCAUAGAGCUACUGGCGCCCGAUCUGUUGGUCGGCCGGGGUUAAAGGGAUGGCCUGGGGGCGCAACCAAGAACGGCGGUGGUGUGAGGUCGAGGGGAGGGCGGGGCGACGGAGGCAGGGGUCUGGGCCGGUGGUCGCUGGCGGUUCGAGCAAGAUCGUCAAAAGUGACUGGCGGGAGGUAGACGAAGGCCAUCUGCCUGUUCCUUAUAGAUCGGGCGGUUCAUUAAAAAAAUCGACUGACCUAUUUAUUUUCAGUCGACUGUUAUCUUGAUAUGACCACAUGUGGUGGUGUGCUGGAGGAGUACCUGCAUUUCUUGUGCUCAUAUAUUACAAAAUCAUACGGAGUAGAAUCUAAUUUUGUUUGCCAUGCAAUGUUGUAGAGCUAUCAUAUGUCUCCUGUCAUUUAUUUUUCAGCCAACUGCUAUCUGUUACUUUUACAGUGCACUAGUUCUGCACACAUCACACCCAUACUCUAACUAUUGUGUUUUUAUGCAAGGGUAUUUCAGAGUCUGCCUCGAGAGAAGCAGAAAAGAAAAGAGAGAAGUUGCUCCAGCUUUCUACGCGGGUAAGCACGACACGUUACAGCGCGAUAAAGGGUGCAGUGUCAGCAGAUGGAGACGGUAAACGUAGCUCUGGAGUUGAUGACCUCGCUCGCAAUGAACCACCAUCCCAGGUGCUUGCUUUAACUUCGCGGUGUCAUAUAUGGUUGCAUGUUCAAUAUGGUGUCUAGCUUGUAUUCGAAAGGCCGAAGUCGGUCUUUAUUAAGAUAAGGAAAGAUAUUUUUUACAUGAACCACCAUCCCGUGAGCACCAGAAGACAAAUAGCUAGUCAGGGCACUGGCCGCGAUGGUGGCGAAGCAGCCCGCCUCCCACCAGGCUCUCAGGUCCUAGAUGAUCAUGCUCAGCACUCCAGCCGGAUGUCUAGCUUGUAUUGCUUCCAAUUUGGUUAAAUUACAUCUGCUUAGCUUACACAUUAUACCUUUGAAUAUGACAUGCCUUUCUGUUUUUGGUACAUACUAGUACAUCUGUGUAUUAAACAUGUUCUUACAUCAAACUAAUGUUCUUGUGUAUCCCUCAUUAAUCACUUAUGAUGAGGCAGUCAGGCAAGUGGAAUACUCCUCAUUUAAAAAAUGUAGCGUCAGCCUCCCGACAUGAUUCUCAAGAAACAGCAAGGCUAGAUGAAGAUAGUGAACGUAGCUCUGUAGUUGAUUACCGCAUUUCCCCUACACUAGCAUCGCAGGUGCUUGCUCUAACUUGGCAGCGUGAUAUGUGGUUGCAUGUUGCAUAUGGUGUCUAGAUUGUAAUUCUUCCAAUCUGGUUAAACUGCAUGUGCUAUUCUUCUUAGCUUAUACAUUAUACCUGUUAAUGUGACAUGCCUUCCUGUAUUUAGUACAUAGUACAUCUGUCUAUUAAGCAUGUCCUUACAUAAAACUAUUGUUUUUUUGUAUCCCGCAUCAAUCAAUAUGACGAGACACCUUUAGUAUAUGCAGUGCGAUAUUGGUUGCAUCUUUCAUAUGAUUUAUAGCAUGCGCUGCCUCUAAUUUGUUGAAAUUCCAUUUAUGAUGGGACGCUUUUAACUUGGCAGAGUCAUAUUGGUUGCAUCUUUCAGGUGGUGUCUAGCUUGCAUUGCUUGUUAUUUGUUGGAAUGGUUUCUGCUUAGUUUACACAAACAGUUGUGAACAUGCCAUGUCGUCCUGUUUUUCGUACAUAUUCCAUCCUGGUAUCAUGUGUUUGCCUUACAUCAAAGUAGUGAUUGUCAGUAUCAUGCAUGAAUGAGUUCUGAAGAGAGAAUUUUAUUGCUUUUUCUUGUCGGUUUUACUUGACAAUUCAAAAUCAAUAAAGCGGAAGGAAGUUAGCAAGGCAGCGGAUAAAGGUGCUCCUUCCAAACGGAGGGCCUCCACAGUUUCUACUCCUCCAUGCCCCCAAGAUGAUUUCCAAGACAACACAUGUAUAGACACUCAAUGUAGCUGUGUUUAUGAUGAGCACGUCUCCCCUAGUGCACCAUCACCGGUGCUCCCUCUAACUUGGCACUGUUAUAUGUGGUUGCAUGUUAUGUGUGAUGUCUAGCUUGUAUUGCUUCUAAUUUUGUUGAAUUCCAUCUGCUUACUUUACACAUUAUACUUGAAUAAGACAUGUGUUCCUAUUUCUAGAAUAUACAAUAUAUGUCUAUCACACCAUGUUCUUACAUAAAAUUACUACUGUUGUGUAACCUGCAACAAUCACUUAUCAUAAGACACGUUUGGCUUUGGAGUGUGAUAUAGGUUACAUCUCGCAUUCUUUUCUAGCUUGUACUACUAAUUUGUUGAAAUGGCACUUAUGACGAGACAAUUUUAACUUGGUAGAGUGAUAUUCAUUGCAUCUCUCAUAUGGUGUCUAGCUUUCAUUGCUUCUAAUUUGUUGAAAUGCCUUCUCCUUAGUUUACACAUCAUAAGCUGUGAAUAUGCAAUGGCACUAAUGACGAGAGACCUCUAACUUGGUAGUGUGAUGUUGUUUGCAUCUUGCAUAUGAUUUAUUUCUUAUACUGCUUCACAUUUGUUUAAACGCCAUUUAUGAUGAGACAUUGUUAACUUGGCAGAGCGAUAUUUGUAGCAUCUUUCAUAUGGUGUCUACCUUCCAUUGCAAUGCUUCUAAUUUAGUGAAAUGUCUUCUGCUUAGUUUACACAUCAUAGUUCUGGUUAUCUCUUUCGUCCUGUUUUUCAUACAUAUUACAUCCUCCUAUCAUGUGGUUGUCUAACAUCAAAGUUCAGUUCGUCUAUAUCACACAUCAAUUUGUUCUAAAGAACUAAAUUGUUAUUCAUUUUUCUUGUCGGCUUGACUUAACAUGGCACACAGAAAGAGGAAGAAACACAGAAUGGCAGGGAAUGGGAACCGGAAGAAUCCUGCAGAUUCUGCUGGUACAGAUGGUGCAAUAGAAGGUCAAAGUCCAGCGGAAAAUUCUACAAACAGGGUAUCCCAUGCUACACGAGCUGCAGAAAAAGCCAAACAGAAACAAAUAGCUGCCACAAAACAAGCAAAGACAACCCUAGUUCUUGCAACACCUUCCACAGUACUAUCAGCUACAUGAGUUACUCAUGCGUCAACUGAGCUAGCAGCACGUUCCCAAGCUCCCUUGCCACCUGACACUACUUCCCAAGCACUCUUGACACAAGACGAGUUGGCAAGAUCAGAUGAACCUUGUGAGCUUCAAUAGCAAGAAGGUAGUUGUUGGAGUCAAGUUACAGUUGCAUGCUUCUUUAUAUGUAGUCUCACAGUUUGAUGUACACUAACACUUCCUAUGUUCAUUGUUGGACUAGCACCUAGGCGCAAGAGGAAACAAACAUCAGGGAUAAUGCUCGAUAGGUUAACUAAAUCUAGAGGAGGAAGAAUGGAGAUCUGUUUUGAGGCAGGUUUAAAAAGGCCACGUGAUGCUAUAGAGUCAGCCAAGUUAGUAUCAGAGGCAGCGGUUGCGUUAGGUGUCAUGUACGUAUCCUCCCAACAUGGAUUCAGUACAGGAAUGACAAAGACGAAACCCAGUUCAACACCUUCCUCGACCAUUUAUCUGUAAGUAUGGUUAUGUAUGGAAACUAGUAAUAUCGUCUUGCUCUGUCCCAUACUUUCUAGGUUGCUGAUAAUGAGACUCCCAUAAUUUUCAACAGAUGAGGUUCAAGUUGGAUAGCCAAGAUGAUGCAACCAGACAAGCUUGCACCCAUGUUUUCAAGUCUGCUCUACGGCAGUAUCGGUAUAACUUGAGGAAAACUCACUUUGAAGGCAAGGCUAACAGUGAACUUUCCCAAACAUCUCCAGUGGAAAAUAUAUCGGAUGAAGACUGGAGGGGCCUCGUUAAACACUGGUCUGAUCCGAAGUAUCAAGUACAUUAUAUGUGUGUGUGUGUGUGUGUGUGUGUNNNNNNNNNNNNNNNNNNNNNNNNNNNNNNNNNNNNNNNNNNNNNNNNNNNNNNNNNNNNNNNNNNNNNNNNNNNNNNNNNNNNNNNNNNNNNNNNNNNNNNNNNNNNNNNNNNNNNNNNNNNNNNNNNNNNNNNNNNNNNNNNNNNNNNNNNNNNNNNNNNNNNNNNNNNNNNNNNNNNNNNNNNNNNNNNNNNNNNNNNNNNNNNNNNNNNNNNNNACGCAUGUGCCACACAAAUCUAUCUUCUUUUAGGUGAACUGUUCAAAUAACAAGGCCAACCGUACGAAAGUGAAAUUCCAACAGACGACAGGAUCUCGUAGCCAUAUUGCACACUGCGAGGCUCUUGUAAUUAGCUGAUGUUUCACUCUUUUCGCUCUACCAUAUUAUCAGAUCUAUAUUGACUUGUUCCAAAUGCAGAGGAAAGCCCGCAAGGACCAAAAAGUACCUGAACCAAAUGAUGUGGAAAUCUUCAAGGACUGUCACACCAGCAAGAAGAAGGGCAUGACUACACCAGUCAAAGCCGCUGUUGUAAGUCCUUAAUCCUCAUGCCUUUUAACUACUACUUACACUGACUUGUGCCUUGCACUCCAUGGUUUGCAGCCAAUGUCUAUCACUCUUUUCAAUUUUGUACACAAUUGUCUUAGCGUAUCAUUGCACCUUACAAGGUUUAAAAGAGAGGAGUGAUGUUCCUUUGAUCUUGACCUGUAAUCUAGUUCCGUGCUGGACUUGCCCACACAACGUUACAAUUGUCUGUUUGUCUGUUCUCAGUUGUUUUGUGAUAUGAAUGAUGUCAUACUAUGCUUACCGUAUUAUAAACUUCGUCUCUUUAUCCUUAGCCCUCAAUACAAUGUGAAGAAAUAGACAAUACAUUAGCGAUAGUACAUGGUCAUAUGUUUGGAACCUGGUUUUAUUAUGUACUUUGCAAUAAAAUACAACUAAUAUUUUACAUAUGUUCACCGAAAUAAGUUCUAUAUAUAGACCAAAGCUAUUUUGUUUGGUUUUGCUGCCUCCUUAAUAUCUUCUGUUCUGGUACUACUAAUGUAAAACCUCAACUUUUCAGCGAGCUAUGGAAAAAAUGGUGGAACUGCCACCUUCUGAAGGUGGCGAGGUAACUAUAACCGCAAUGUUAGCUCUUGCUGUAGUGGGUCAGUACCUGUCCACUAACAGUGCCAAAAUCACGUUCCUGCGUAAUACUGGGUUGGUUGUUAAGGCAAUCUCGUCCAAACUGCCUCAUGAUCAAGAUAUGCAAGCUCAAAACAAUGUUGUAUCUGCGCUCCAGACACAAGUCCAUUCCCUAACAGAGACCCUUUGUGAAACAAGGAGAGACAUUGUUCGAUGUUGUCAAGAUAUGCAUGGUUUUGAAACCAGACUAUCAGACAUUUGCUAUGUUGUUCAGGAGCCUAGGAGAACUGACGGCGAACGUUAUGGUGCUCCAUCGAACAAUACAGCAUGAAAACGUAACAGUCAGGUCAAAUGAACUGAGCUUCUGAACUUCUCGUGGUGCAUUUAUCUGGUAGACUAUUAACUUUUAUGCCAACCUUCCUUUUGUUUUAUAGUGGUAAUUUGUUUUGGUGCGAUACAAAAUUUGUUCUUAACGUGCAGCCACCGGCUGAAGAAAACAGCAAGCCAUUUUUGUAUAGUGUAGGGUGUUCCCUAUAUUUGCACUAGUGGCAAACUUUGAUGCCCAGUGGAUGUAAUAUGUGUAAUAGCCGUGAUAGCCUAGCGUAAGUUGCUUGCUUAUUUAUUUCCUUGUUGUCUUGUUUAUUUGUUUUCUUGUAGUCAGUGCAGUUCUUUUUCCGCGGUUUGCUAGUGGCCGCAAUAACCUAUUUUCUAAAACUAGGCCACAAUAACCAUGGGCUACAUAUUUACUGUAGUUAACAUGGGCCUCCUACGAGCCGUAGAAACCAUGGGCCUUCUAAGGGCCGUAGAAACAAUGGGCCUUCUACGGGCCGUAGACACAAUGGGCCUUCUACGGGCCGUAUGAUCAGUUGGGCAAACAUGGGCCAAUAACAGACCACAUUAUGGCCGUAAAUGGGCUAGAGUUGAAAUCAUCCGUUCAUGGGUCGACCAUAACGGGCCAUCGUUAAUCGGUCGUAUUUGAUGACGCUACGAAAAUGGCCCAACAUAUUAACGGGCCACAAACGGGCCGACUGUAACCACUGGCUGAAUUUGGCCCACAAGCAGAAAAUGACAGUAACGGGCCGUAAGUAAACGAAUGCUAGAAAUGAGCCCAAGAAUAAAUGGGGCCUGAGAAGGCCGAAAGAUAACAUGGGCUGGAAACGGCCCAACGGAAUAAUGGGCCGUUAACGGGUAUAAAGUGAUACACUGUUCAUUACGGGCCAGUUUCACCACGUGUCGUUAAUGGGUAUAAAGUGAUACACUAUUCAUUACGCGCCAGUUUUACCACGGGCUGUUAAUGGGCCGAGAGUUACUAAGGGCCUCAUAUGGGCCGAAAGACGUCAUGGGCCAUACAUGGGCCGGAAGUUAAAACGGGCUGGAAUUAUAUUGGACGGCCCAGAUGAAGCUACUGGGCCUAAUUCGGAUAGGCCUUAAAUGGGCCUUGGGUUAGCGGGCAGUAAUUGGGCUAUAUGCGAACAGGCCAUUAACAGGCUUGCCGUGGGCCGGCCCGCCACCUUUUGACCAAGUCAAACGGGCCGGCCUUUUCAUAGGAAUGGGCCUUUGUUGGGCCGUGCCACAUGUCGACGUAUCAUAGGCGCUUUGGGUCCAAUGAGUGGAUGACAUCUGUCCCAACGGUUAGCCGACACGUGUUUCCUCCAGCCAAUGAUGAUUUUACACGUGGAAAAUCCCCAUUGGUCGGGGCUGUUAACGAGUUAUCAGAUCCAAAACCGGACCCGAUAGCUUAACGGUGUUCCGUUACGGUGGAUGCCACGUGUCAGUCACCCUUGACGAAAGCACUUCUGUGACGCGCGAUUUAUCGUCAUGGAAGUUGCUACCUCUUGAGCAUGCAUUGGUUUUCCCUUGAAGAGGAAAGGGUGAUGCAGCAAAGUAGCGUAAGUAUUUCCCUCAGUUUUUGAGAACCAAGGUAUCAAUCCUGUAGGAGGCCACACGCAAAUCCCUUGUACCUACACAAACAAAUAAGAACCUUGCAACCAACGCGAUAAAGGGGUUGUCAAUCCCUUCACGGCCACUUGCAAAAGUGAGAUCUGAUAGAGAUGAUAAGAUAAUAUUUUUGGUAUUUUUAUGAUAAAGAUUAAAAGUAAAGAUUGCAAAAUAAACAGCGCCAGAAAUAGCUAGUUGACGGGAGAUUAAUAUGAUGGAAAAUAGACCCGGGGGCCAUAGGUUUCACUAGUGGCUUCUCUCAAGAUAGCAUAAGUAUUACGGUGGGUGAACAAAUUACUGUCGAGCAAUUGAUACAAAAGUGCAUAAUUAUGACAAUAUCUAGGCAUGAUCAUGUAUAUAGGCAUCAUGUCCGCUUCAAGUAGACCGACUCCUGCCUGCAUCUACUACUAUUACUCCACACAUCAACUGCUAUCCAGCAUGCAUCUAGAGUAUUAAGUUCAUAAGAACAGAGUAACACAUUAGGCAAGAUGACAUGAUGUAGAGGGAUAAACUCAAGCAAUAUGAUAUAAACCCCAUCUUUUUAUCCUCGAUGGCAACAAUACAAUACGUGUCGUUUCCCCUACUGUCACUGGGAUCUAGCAACGCAAGAUUGAACCCAAAGCUAAGCACUUCUCCAAUUACAAGAAAGAACAAUCUAGUAGGCCAAACCAAACUGAUAAUUCAAAGAGACUUGCAAAGAUAACCAAUCAUACAUAAAAGAAUUCAGACAAGAUUCAAAUAUUGUUCAUAGAUAAUCUUGAUCAUAAACCCACAAUUCAUCGGAUCUCGACAAACACACCGCAAAAAGAGUUACAUCGAAUAGAUCUCCAAGAAGAUCAAGGAGAACUUUGUAUUGAGAUCCAAAGAGAGAGAAGAAGCCAUCUAGCUAAUAACUAUGGACCCAAAGUUCUGUGGUAAACUACUCACAUAUCAUCGGAGAGGCUAUGGUGUUGAUGUAGAAGCCCUCCGUGAUCGAUUCCCCCUCCGGCGGAGCGCCGGGAAAGGCCCCAAGAUGGGAUCUCACAGGUACAGAAGGUUGCGGCGGUGGAAAUAGGGUUUCGUGGUGCUCCUGGUUGGUUUCGGGGUAUAUGGGUAUAUAUAGGAGGAAGAAGUAGGUCGGUGGAGCUGCGAGGGGCCCACGAGAGUGGGGGGCGCGCCUCCAAGUCCCUGCCUCGUGGCCUCCUCGUUGAUUUCUUGACAUCCACUCCAAGUCCUCUAGAUCACGUUUGUUCCAAAAAUAACUCUCUCGAAGGUUUCAUUCCGUUUGGACUCCGUUUGAUAUUCCUUCUCGUCGAAACACUCAAAUAGGCAAAAAAACAGCAAUUUGCACUAGGCCUUGGGUUAAUAGGUUAGUCCCAAAAAUAAUAUAAAAGUGUAUAGUAAAGCCCAUUAAACAUCCAAAACAUAAUAUAUAAUAGCAUGGAACAAUACAAAAUUAUAGAUACGUUGGAGACGUAUCAAGCAUCCCCAAGCUUAAUUCCUGCUCGUCCUCUAGUAGGUAAAUGAUAAAAAUAGAAUUUUUUAUGUGGAAUGCUACCUAGCAUAUUUCUCAAUGUAAUUUUCUUUAUUGUAUCAUGAAUGUUCAGAUCCGAAAGAUUCAAGACAAAAUUUUAAUAUUGACAUGAAAAUAAUAAUACUUCAAGCAUACUAACAAAGCAAUCAUGUCUUCUCAAAAUAACAUGGCCAAAGAAAGUUAUCCCUAAAAAAUCAUAUAGUCUGGCUAUGCACAACCCCGAUGAUAAGCCAAGCAAUUGUUUCAUACUUUUGAUGUUCUCAAACUUUUUCAAUCUUCACGCAAUACAUGAGCGUGAGCCAUGGAUAUAGUACUAUAUGUGGAAUAGAAUGGUGGUUGUGGAGAAGACAAAAAAGGAGAAGAUAGUCUCACAUCAACUAGGCGUAUCAAUGGGCUAUGGAGAUGCCCAUCAAUAGAUAUCAAUGUGAGUGAGUAGGGAUUGCCAUGCAAUGGAUGCACUAGAGCUAUAAGUGUAUGAAAGCUCAACAAAAGAAACUAAGUGGGCGUGCAUCCCAACUCGCUUGCUCACGAAGACCUAGGGCAUUUUGAGGAAGCCCAUCAUUGGAAUAUACAAGCCAAGUUCUAUAAUGUAAAAUUCCCACUAGUAUAUGAAAGUGACAACACAGGAGACUCUCUAUCAUGAAGAUCAUGGUGCUACUUUGAAGCACAAGUGUGGUAAAAGGAUAGUAAUAUUGUCCCUUCUCUCUUUUUCUCUCAUUUUUUUCCAUUUUUUGGGCUUUUUUUUCUUUUUGGCCUCUUGAUUUUCUUUCCUUUUUUUUCGUCCGGAGUUUCAUCCCGACUUGUGGGGGAAUCAUAGUCUCCAUCAUCCUUUCCUCACUUGGGACGAUGCACUAAUAAUGAUGAUCAGCACACUUUUAUUUACUUACAACUCAAAGAUUACAACUCAAUACUUAGAACAAAAUAUGACUCUAUGUGAAUUCCUCCGGCGGUGUACCGGGAUAUGCAAUGAAUCAAGAGUGACAUGUAUGAAAGAAUUAUAAAUGUGGCUUUGCCACAAAUACGAUGUCAACUACAUGAUCAUGCAAAGCAAUAUGACAAUGAUGAAGCGUGUCAUAAUAAAUGGAACGGUGGUAAGUUGCAUGGGAAUAUAUCUCGGAUUGGCUAUGAAAAUGCCAUAAUAGGUAGGUAUGGUGGCUGUUUUGAGGAAGGUAUAUGGUGGGUGUAUGAUACCGACGAAAGGUGUGUGGUAUUAGAGAGGCUAGCAAUGGUGGAAGGGUGAGAGUGCGUAUAAUCCAUGGACUCAACAUUAGUCAUGAAGAACUCACAUACUUAUUGCAAAAAUCUAUUAGUUAUCAAAACGAAGUACAACACGCAUGCUCCUAGGGGGAUAGAUUGGUAGGAAAAGACCAUCGCUCGUCCCCAACCGCCACUCAUAAGGAAGACAAUCAAUAAAUAAAUCAUGCUCGGACUUCAUCACAUAACGGUUCACCAUACGUGCAUGCUACGGGAAUCACAAACUUUAGAACAAGUAUUUCUCAAAUUCACAACUACUCAACUAGCAUGACUCCAAUAUCACCAUCUCCAUAUCUCAAAACAAUCAUCAAGUAUCAAACUUCUCUUAGUAUUCAAUGUACUUCUAUGAAAGUUUUUAUUAUAUCCAUCUUUGAUGCCUAUCAUAUUAGGACUAAAUUUAUAGCCAAGGCAAACUACCAUGCUGUUCUAAAAGACUCUCAAAAUAAUAUAAGUGAAGCAUGAGAGACCAAUAAUUUCUAUAAAAUGUAACCACCACCGUGCUCUAAAAGAUAUAAGUGAAGCACUAGAGCAAAAUUAUUUAGCUCAAAAGAUAUAAGUGAAGCACCUAGAGUAUUCUAAUAAAUUCCGAUUAAUGUGUGUCUCUCCCAAAAGGUGUGUACAUCAAGGAUGAUUCUGGUGAACUAAAAAGAAAAGACUCAAAUCAUACAAGACGCUCCAAGCAAAACACAUAUCAUGUGGUGAAUAAAAAUAUAGCUCCAAGUAAACUUACCGAUGGACGAAGACGAAAGAGGGGAUGCCUUCCGGGGCAUCCCCAAGCUUAGGCUUUUUGGUUGUCCUUGGAUUUUACCUUGGGGUGCCUUGGGCAUCCCCAAGCUUAGGCUCUUUCCACUCCUUGUUCCAUAAUCCAUCAAAUCUUUACCCAAAACUUGAAAACUUCACAACACAAAACUUAACAGAAAAUCUCGUGAGCUCCGUUAGCGAAAGAAAAAAAAACACCACUUCAAGGUACUGUAAUGAACUCAUUCUUUAUUUAUAUUGGUGUUAAACCUACUGUAUUCCAACUUCUCUAUGUUUCAUAACCUCCGAUACUAGCCAUAGAUUCAUCAAAAUAAGCAAACAACACACGAAAAACAGAAUCUGUCAAAAACAGAACAGUCUGUAGUAAUCUGUAUCAAACGCAUACUUCUGAAACUCCAAAAAUUCUAAACUAAAUUGCUGGACGUGAGGAAUUUAGCUAUGAAUCAUCUUCAAAAAUAAUCAACAAAAUAUCACUCUCCAGUAAAAAGUUGUAGCUAAUCUCGUGAGCGCUAAAGUUUCUGUUUUUUACAGCAAGAUCAAAAAGACUUCACCCAAGUCUUCCCAAAGGUUCUACUUGGCACAAACACUAAUUAAAACAUAAAAACACAUCUAAACAGAACCAAAAAGCAAGAAAUAAAAAUAAAAUUGGGUUGCCUCCCAACAAGGGCUAUCGUUUAACGCCCCUAACUAGGCAUAAAGGUAAGGAUAGAUCUAGGUAUUAUCAUCUUUGGCAUGCAAUCCAUAAGUGGCUCUCAUAAUAGAUUCAGAAGGUAAUUUAAUUUUAUUUCUAGGAAAGUGUUCCAUGCCUUUCCUUAACGGAAAUUGGAAUCUAAUAUUCCCUUCUUUCAUAUCAAUAAUUGCACCAAUCGUUCUAAGGAAAGGUCUACCAAGAAUAAUAGGACAUGAAGGAUUGCAAUCUAUAUCAAGAACGAUGAAAUCUACGGGCACAUAAUUCCUAUUUGAAACAAUAAGAACAUCAUUAAUUCUUCCCAUAGGUUUCUUAACGGUUGAAUCCGCAACGUGCAAGUUUAAAGAACAAUCAUCAAAUUCACGGAAACCUAACAUAUCACACAAAGUUUUUGGAAUCGUGGAAACACUAGCACCCAAUCACAAAAAGCAUAGCAUUCAUGAUCUUUAAUUUAAUUUUAAUAGUAGGUUCCCACUCAUCAUAAAGUUUUCUAGGGAUAGAAACUUCCAAUUCAAGCUUUUCUUCAUAGGAUUGCAUUAAAGCAUCAACGAUAUAUUUAGUAAAAGCCUUAUUUUGACUAUAAGCAUGCGGAGAAUUUAGCACGGAUUGCAACAAGGAAAUACAAUCUAUUAAAGAAAAAAUAUCAUAAUUAAAUUCCUUAAAAUCUAAAAUAGUGGGUUCAUUGCUAUGUAAAGUUUUGACCUCUUUAAUCCCACUUUUAUCAAUUUUUGCAUCAAGAUCUAAAAACUCCGAAUCAUUGGGACGCCUUUUAACUAAAGUUGACUCAUAUCCAUUCCCAUCAUUAUCAAGAUUCAUAUUGCAAAACAAAGAUUUAAUAUGAGGAACACCAAUCACUUUUAGAUCUUCAUCCUUAUUACCCUCUAGAUCUUCCGGUUUAGCGGCCAUCUUAUUUACUAAGGUGGCCUGCUUAUCCGAAAUUUGGGCUAUUGAUUUUUCAAGAUGAGCAAACUGAGAUCUCAAGCCAUAAAAUUCCUUAGACAUAUCAUCAAGCUCUUUAUUCAUGUACUCCAUAAAGCUUUUUUGUUCUUUAAGAUCGUUUCGAAAGAAAUUACUAUGCUCAAAUUGCAAAGUCAUAAAGCUUCUAACGUUGUUUUCAAUUUCUUCCAACCUUUGAAGGUAAGGAUCAACGUUUUUAGGCAGGGCCAUUAGGGCAAACAGGCAACCACAAGCAAGCGAAGAGAGACAAACGGAAAGAGAGGGCGAAUAAAAUGGCAACGGCGAAGUGGGGGAGAGGAAAACGAGAGGCAAAUGACAAAUAAUGUAAUGCGAGGGAUAAGAGUUUGUGAUGGGUACUUGGUAUGUCUUGACUUGUGCGUAGACUCCCCGGCAACGGCGCCAGAAAUCCUUCUUGCUACCUCUUGAGCAUGCGUUGGUUUUCCCUUGAAGAGGAAAGGGUGAUGCAGCAAAGUAGCGUAAGUAUUUCCCUCGGUUUUUGAGAACCAAGGUAUCAAUCCAGUAGGAGGCCACACGCAAGUCCCUCGUACCUACACAAACAAAUAAGAACCUAGAAACCAACGCGAUAAAGGGGUUGUCAAUCCCUUCACGGCCACUUGCAAAAGUGAGAUCUGAUAGAGAUGAUAAGAUAAUAUUUUUGGUAUUUUUAUGAUAAAGAUUAAAAGUAAAGAUUCCAAAAUAAAUGGCGCCAGAAAUAGCUAGUUGACGGGAGACUAAUAUGAUGGAAAAUAGACCCGGGGGCCAUAGGUUUCACUAGUGGCUCCUCUCAAGAUAGCAUAAGUAUUACGGUGGGUGAACAAAUUACUAUCGAGCAAUUGAUAGAAAAGUGCAUAAUUAUGAGAAUAUCUAGGCAUGAUCAUGUAUAUAGGCAUCACGUCCGCAACAAGUAGACCGACUCCUGCCUGCAUCUGCUACUAUUACUCCACACAUCGACCGCUAUCCAGCAUGCAUCUAGAGUAUUAAGUUCAUAAGAACAGAGUAACGCAUUAGGCAAGAUGACAUGAUGUAGAGGGAUAAACUCAAGCAAUAUGAUAUAAACCCAUCUUUUUAUCCUCGAUGGCAACAAUACAAUACUUGUCGUUUCCCCUACUGUCACUGGGAUCUAGCAACGCAAGAUUGAACCCAAAGCUAAGCACUUCUCCCAUUGCAAGAAAGAUCAAUCGAGUAGGCCAAACCAAACUGAUAAUUCGAAGAGACUUGCAAAGAUAACCAAUCAUACAUAAAAGAAUUCAGACAAGAUUCAAAUAUUGUUCAUAGAUAAUCUUGAUCAUAAACCCACAAUUCAUCGAAUCUCGAUAAACACACCGCAAAAAGAGUUACAUCGAAUAGAUCUCCAAGAAGAUCAAGGAGAACUUUGUAUUGAGAUCCAAAGAGAGAGAAGAAGCCAUCUAGGUAAUAACUAUGGACCCGAAGGUCUGUGGUAAACUACUCACAUAUCAUCGGAGAGGCUAUGGUGUUGAUGUAGAAGCCCUCCGUGAUCGAGUCCCCCUCCGGCGGAGCACCGGAAAAGUCUCCAAGAUGGGAUCUCAUGGGUACAGAAGGUUGCGGCGGUGGAAAUAGGGUUUCGUGGUGCUCCUGGUUGGUUUCGGGGUAUAUGGGUAUAUAUAGGAGGAAGAAGUAGGUCGGUGGAGCUGCGAGGGGCCCACGAGGGUGGGGGCAUGCCUCCCUGCCUCGUGGCCUCCUCGUUGAUUUCUUGACGUCCACUCCAAGUCCUCUGGAUCACGUUUGUUCCAAAAAUAACUCUCCCGAAGGUUUCAUUCUGUUUGGACUCCGUUUGAUAUUCCUUUUCUACGAAACACUGAAAUAGGCAAAAAACAGCAAUUUGCACUCGGCCUUGGGUUAAUAGGUUAGUCCCAAAAAUAAUAUGAAAGUGUAUAGUAAAUCCCAUUAAACAUCCAAAACAGAAUAUAUAAUAGCAUGGAACAAUCAAAAAUUAUAGAUACGUUGGAGACAUAUCAGAAGUGGACACUUCCGUGAUGAUAAUUUUUGUAAUGUCAUGGAACACUUCUACGACAGCACAGGUAUGACUAUCUUGAUUCUGUCAUAAAAUCAUCAUGGAUGUACAUGCAUGACAGAAAACGUGACCUACUGUGACAAACACGUAUCAUCACGGAAGUGUAUUUUUUUGUAGUGAAGAUCUAUACGAAGCUCGCUUUGUGCUCUUUGGGUGAUGGCGGCUGGCUUGAUCCUUCUAUGCUCGUUCGAUCGUCCGCUGCUACACACGUCCCAUGAUGUAAAUAAUGCAUGGAUAGGAAGAUGAUGGUAUGAGAGACAUCGAUCAUGUGCAGGAUCUUCCUGCAAUUGCCUCUCAACCGGACCGACCCUGAGGCGCGCUCCUUGGGCACCUCCUCUGAGGAAGCAUGGCGGCGACUGAAUCAACCCUGAGGUGUAUCUUUGUAUCAGAGGAUGUCAGCCCGGCAGUGCGGUAGGCAGCAGAUCAUCAUUGAGAGGGAGGGGUUCAGGAGGAGGACGAUCUUUUUUCUAUUUUUUCUUUUUAUUUUGGCGUGAGGCAAGGGAAGUGUGUUUUUUUAUGCAUAUAUGAGGAGGUGUUGGCCGAUGGGUCUUUUCGUAGGGGGGAUCAAGGGUAGUUGAGUUGGACGUACCAUGUAUAGUCCCCAACUCCCAUUUAGUAGUAAAGACAUUGCUGAUAAAACUUCCUAAUACUCCCUCUGUCCCAAAAGAAGUGUCUCAACUUUGUACUACCUAUAGUACAAAUUUGUACUAAGGCCAAGACACUUAUUUUGGGGCGGAGAGAGUAUUAAUUAUCUGCAUCCCUAAUAAAGUUUCUGACUAAUUAAUUAAUUGCUUUAAUGGUUUGAUUCUAAAAUUGAGUUGUCACGAAAAAAUCCCUACUUAAACGGACUUAAUUAAAUGCACAUGUAAUUAAUUAUCUAGCUAAUUAAUUGCAUUAUGACUUAAUUCCCAAACAGAUUUGGUGAUUGGUUCCAAAAUUAUUAUUAUUGUUUUUUUUGCUUGAGGCAAGGGAGGUGGGUUUUCUUGUGCGUGUGGGGAGGUGGGAGCGGAUGUGUUUUUCGUAAGGGGAUCUAGGAUUUAAUAGUAAUGAUAAAUUUGAAAAAACUUACUACAAUUAAUUAUCUGCAUCCCAAAUUAUGUGUUUGGAUAAUUAAUUAAUUGCAUUAAUGGCUUGAUUUCUGAUAACCCACAAGUAUAGGGGAUCGCAACAGUUUUCGAGGGUAGAGUAUUCAAUCCAAAUUUAUAGAUUCGACACAAGGGGAGCCAAAGAAUAUUUGUAAGUAUUAGUAGUUGAGUUGUCAAUUCAACCACACCUGGAGAUUAAAUAUCUGCAACAAGGUGAUCAGUAGCAUAGUAAUAUGAUAAUUUUGAUAGCAGUGGUAACAGUAGCAAUAGUAAUAGUAACAUCAGUGAUGAUUUUGUAGCAAGUGUAACAGUAGCGGCAGCAGUAGUAACUUAGCAAGAACAAUAAGUGGAAAACUCGUAGGCAUUGGAUCGGUGAAUUCGUUGGAUGAUAUUCAUCAUAUAACAGUCAUAACCUAGGGCGAUACAGCACUAGUUCCAGUUCAUAAAUAUAAUGUAGGCAUGUAUUCUGUAAAUAGUCAUACGUUCUUAUGAAAAGAACUUGCAUGAUAUCUUUUGUCCUACCCUCCCGUGGUAGCGGGGUCCAUAAGGAAACUAAGGGAUAUUAAGGCCUCCUUUUAAUAGAGAAUCGGAACAAAGCAAUAACACAUAGUGAAUACGUGAACCCCCUCAAACUACGGUCAUCAUUGGAAAGUAUGCCGAUUACUGUCACCCUAAGGUUUACGGAUCAUAACACGUAGCUGGUGCAUAUGACUAGCAAGAUCGAAUCUAGAACAUAGAUAUAAUGGUGAAAACAUAAACGGUUCAGAUCUGAAAUCAUGGCACUCGGGCCCUAUUGACAAGCAUUAAGCAUGGCAUAAUCAUAGCAAGAUCAAUCUGAGAAAAUAGUGGGAACUAGGGAUCAAGCCCUAAUAAAACUAACUCGAUUACAUGAUCAAUCUCAUCCAACUCCUCACCGACCAGCGAGCCUAUAUGAAGAAAUUACUCGCUCCCGGUGGGGAGCAUCAUGGAGUUGGUGAUGAAGGAGGGUUGGUGAUGACGAAGACCGAAGAUUCCCCUCUUCGGAGCCCCGAACGGGCUCCAGAUCUGGCCUCCCGAUGAAGAACAGGAGGCGGCGGCGGCUCCGUAUCUUGAAACGCGAUGAAACUCCUCCCCCAUUUUUCUGGAAAAAUAGGAUUUUAUAGCGUUGGAAUUAGGGUCAGUGGGGCCACGAGGUGGGCACAACCCACCAGGGCGCGCAUGGAGGGUGGGGCGCGCCCUGGUGUCUUGUGCUCAACUAGGGGCCCCCUCAAGUGGUUCUUGGCUCCAGUAUUUUUUAUUAUUGUGAAAUAAUUCUCCAAAAUGUUUCGUUCCAUUCCGAGAACUUUUAUUUCUGCACAAAAACAACACCAUGGUAGUUCUGCUGAAAACAGCAUCAGUCCGGGUUAGUUUCAUUCAAAUUAUGCAAAUUAGAGUCCAAAACAAGAGCAAAAGUGUUAGGAAAAGUAGAUACGACAGAGACGUAUCAAUUCCCCCAAGCUUAAACCUUUGCUUGUCCUCAAGCAAUACAGUUGAUAAACUAAAAGUGAUAAAGAAAAACUUUACGAACUCUUUUGUUCUUGUUUACAUAAAUAAGCUUAAGUAGCACCCAGGUUUUCGGCAAAGAUCAUGACUAACCAUGUUAGCAAUAACUCUUAGAAAGUAUAUUAACUCGUAUUAAUGGUAUAAUCAACUGGAGAGCAAGAAUAAGAUAUAUCGAAUGCCAACACUUUGUCAAAACAACCAUGAUAUAAUAUGACAACAGUGGUAUCUCGCUAGCCCUUUCUGAGACCGCAAAACAUAAAUGCAGAGCACCUCCAAAGUUCAAGCAGUGACUAAACAUUAUAAUUCAUGGUAGAAAAGAUCCAGUCAUGAUGCAUUCGACAUUAACUACACACAAUGCAUGAGGAUGACAAUAGUGCUCUCAGAUCUGGCGCUUAUUUGAGAAGGUGACGACUCAACAUAAAAUUAAUAGAUAAUCCCUUCGCAGAGGGAAGCAGGGAUUUGAAGAGGUGCUAGAGCUCAAAGUUUUUAAAGACAGAGAUAAAUGAAAUUUUGGGAAAUGCACCCUUCCUGUUUAUGUCGCGACCAAGAAUUAUCAAUAUAUUCCAUGCUAAACACAUUAGUGGCGGUUCCCAAGCGAUAAAAGUAAAGGUUUACUCCCCCUCCACCAACAAACACACUCCACGGCCAGCCGAAUCCGCGGGUACCGUCCAUACAAACAACAAUCUUGGGGGAGCUUUGUUUAACUAUUUGCAAUUUUUUAUUUCAGGACUGAGAAUCCCUAAUACUGCCCCUCUCAUGCAAGGACGAGUGAAUAAACACUCAUCAUUAGAAUAACCCGCUAAGCAUGGAAGAUACAGACUACCCCCUAUCGCUCUAUGAACAAUCUAGGCACACAAAAAACAGAUGUUCAUUUGAAGUUUUAGAGGUGGCACAUGCAAAUUUACUUAGAACGGGAGGGUAAUACCGCAUAUAGGUGGAUAUGGUGGACUCAUCUGGAAUAACUUUGGGUUUUAGGGUUUUGAUGCACAAGCAGUAUUCCCGCUUAGUACAGGCGAAGGCUAGCAAAUAGGUUGAGAAGCGGCCAGCUAGAGAGCGAAAACGGUCAUGAACAUGCAUUAUGAAUAAUGAACAUUGAAUACUAGCAUGAGUAGGAUAUGGACACCAUGAACAUAAAUAUCGUAGAGGCUAUGUUUGUUUUGAUUCAACUACAUGCGUGAACAUGUGCCAAGUUAAGCCACUUAAAACAUUCAGAGGAGGAUACCAUAUCAUCAUAGUACAUCACAAUCAUUUCAACGCAAUGUUGACAUCCAAGAUAAAUCAUUGUCCACUCCUAGAUACUUAAGCAUGGCAUGAGAAACUAUAAUCUCUAAUCGUCAUUGCAAACAUGUUUGAUCAUAAUAUGUUAAAUCAUGGAUACUAGGUUAAACAUAUUCAAAAAAAAGAACAAGUUAAGUUCAUACCCGUUUCUCUCUACCACAGUCAGUUCAUCAAAUAUCGUCAUUAUUGCCUUUCACUUGCACGACCGAAUGAUAUGAAAAUAAUGAUAGUGCAAGGAUGUCGUGGACUAAGCUGGGAUCUGCUAUCAUUUUAUUCAAAAAGGAGAAGACAAGGUAAUAUGGGCUCUUUGUUAGAUCAAUAGUAAUGCAUAUGAGAGCCAAUCAACAUUUUCAUCGUGGUCUUCUCCUUGGUAUGACUCAACGAAAAGAAAAGAAUUUCAGAGAAACACACUGAAAUAUUUUUGGAGGUUUUAGUUUUUCUUGAAGAAAGCAAAUUAAAGAAAAGUAAACAAAAACGAGAAAAACUAUUUACACGGGAAAGCUCCCAACUAGCAAAAAGAAUAAUCGACAAAUCUAUUUGGGUUUUCUUUUUAAUACUACAACUAAUUAAACUAGAAAGAAAAACCGAAAAGAAGCAAGAAACAUUUUUUUGAAUUUUCUCAAAGUUUUUCAAACACACAAGAAGAAAGCAAGAAAAUAAAUCUAGCAUGAAUAAUACAAUGAAAAAGUGUGAACACCGACAAAUGGAAUGAAAUGUGUGAACAUGAAUAUAAUGUCGGUGGAAACACAUACUCCCCCAAGCUUAGGCUUUUGGCCUAGCUUGGUAAUCACCAGUCGCGGCCUGCAUAGUAGUCAGAGUGAUAGCUCAUGGAAGCUCUUCGUGCGGUCUCCUCAGCCCGCCGAACUGCCAUGAUCUCCGCCUUGUACGAGCGGGCCUCGCUCUCAAGAACAUAAUAUCUUUCUUUGCUAAAUAAUCAAAGAAAGCAGGCGCAAGCAGAACGAUAGGCACAAUAGUUUCUUUAUUAAACCUCAAGUUAUAAGUGUAAUCAGUGAUUGUGCCCGUAAGGAACUUAUGGCGCUUAAUGGCCUCAAAGUCUAAGUAUUGAGUAGGUAAAAUGGGAUCGUAAGGGAGAGGUGUAACACCGACCUCUUUAGCUACACGAGAAGCAUAAAUCCAACCAUAAAAGUAACCACUGGUCGCUUUGUGUUGCAACCUUCGUGCAAUGAUCGCUCCAAGAUUAUAGAGUUUAAUUCAAGUCAGAGCAGUGUGUAUGAGGCUUAAGUCAGGUGCACAUAGUGUGCUGCAAUCCUACUUGCCCAUGAUGCAUUUGCCAUUAAAGAGUGCAAAGUAGUGAAUUGUGUAGGAGAUAUGCCCUAGAGGCAAUAAUAAAUGUUAUUGAUUAUCUCCCUGUUCAUAAUUAUGUUUAUGUUCCAUGCUAUAACUGCUUUGGUUCCCGAGCCCAUAUAUCCAUAAAGGCUCUGGGGAGAACCCAUAUGCACGUGUGGAAUAAUAAACGGUAAAAUGUAUUCCUAGUCGUGCCUCUAAGACUAGCUCAAGUGUUGCAUGAUGAUUAUGUUUUCCCAAUCAUGGGCAUGUCUAUGCCAAGCAACUUUGAGGGCACAAUGUCAGGAAGGACAUUUGUGUUGAAUCGACCCGAAUUGAUGUUAUGCUAUGAGAUACAUUCGUCACAAGUUAAUGGUUUAUAACACAGAGAUAGUUAAUGUUUGCAUAAUUCCUUAGACCAUGAGAGUAUCGCGUUUCUUCAUGCUUGCUUCAUGAACUUUGGGGUUUGUUAAACGUCAUCCGUAACUGGAUGGCUAUUACGGCGGCUUACGGGUUCAUGGGAAAGUAUGUUAAGUAACUUGAUAGCUCGAGAUUGGGAUUUUCUCCUCCGACGAUGGAGAGAUAUACUCGGGCCCUCUCGGUGUUACGGUGUCCAUCAUCGUCUGGCCAGACACCUUUGUGAUUUGAUCACGGGGAUGCCGGAACACGGAAACGAGAAAAGAGAACAAAACCGGUAACGAGGUAACUUGCAUGGUGGACAAAUUGUUCGUCCACGGGGAUGCAAUAAUCUCACCUCAGGUGUUUGUGAUAUAUCAUGAAGCAACAGGAAUAGCUCACCGCAACUCGAGGUUCACUCGAAUAUUCAUUUGUGUGGGUAUAGGGGUCAAUAUGGGUGUCCACGGCUCCGAUGUUGAUCAUUGAUCGGAAGGGGUUCCAGGUCAUGUCUAUACUUCACCGAACCUAUAGGGUCACACGCUUAAGGGUCAUCUAUCUGCUGAAUACUAGACAGGGAGUCUGAGAGAAAAUCACCGAAAAAGUUUCGGACACCGAAAAAGUUUCGGACAGCGGAAAAGUUCCGCAGAGAGAGGUCACCGGAUGAGUUCCGGUGAAACUGAAAAGUUGUUUCAGGGGAUACCAUAAAGUCAAAUUGGUUUCGGCACAUGCCUGAUAAUUCUUGGAGGGUGCCAGAAUCAUUCUGGAAGCUUUCUGGAAUUUUCCGGGAUAAUAACCGGAUAUGCUCUGGAGCUGCCGGAACCACUUCAGAUGCUUUUCGCAGAUGAAAAUCACUAAACCGGAAUUGUUUAGGAACGCGUUGAAAAUAAUUUUGGUGGGUACUGGAAAUGUUCUAAGCCCACACAAAUAUUUUCAGUUCGAACGGACGCUGAAAAAUGUCGUCAUGAAUAGUGAAAAUCAGCUUUAUGGUUACUUUAUGGAAAGCCACCUUUUGGGGCUUUGCUCCAAAAGAUCUUGGGGAUGACAUGGAUGGAUAGGAGCCAUUUUUUGGGCCCCUCAUGGGGUGUGGCCGGCCACAUGGGGUAUCCCCCCUUGGGGACCCUCUUGUUCAUUGGUUUCACUCCUAGGUCCUUGUGGAAGGACUUCAUUCAUGUGCAUUUUGGGUUUUUGUGUGAAACUACCCUACCCCUUGGGAUUUCCUAUAAAUAGAGGUGGAGGGGCAGCCCUCCACACUCAAUCUUUCUCACAUACAUGCCAUUGCAAUGAUCUGGCUUCUUCUCUCCCUCCCAGCGAAAUAGUUUCGUAGAGCCGAAAGGCUGUCUGGGUUCCGGCAGGAACUAGUUCUGGACGGCGAAGCCCUGCCGGAUAGAUGACACCGUAUGUGUGCAACUCUGUAGAGAGAUCGUAGUUUCGGUCUUAGUUCGUGAGUGCCUCCCGAAGGGCUGUCCGUGUGACCGUCCGAGUUUCGAAGGUCCUCCCGAAGGGCUGUCCGAGUGACCGUUCGAGUUUCGAAGGUCCUCCUGAAGGGCUGUCCACGACACCGUCCGGGGGGGGCUGUUCGACCGCCUCCCGGAGGGCUGUCUGAGGAGCAGAUGAGGGUAUACAUCCUCGCGGUUGGGAGGUUGUAAAUCCUAGUUGCGGGGAUCUGCACCGCCGAUUGUCAUCGACUCUACUUCCCGUUGCGCUACGAGUCGGUAACGAAAAAGAUCAAACCUUGUAUGCAGUCUCCAUAGUGGUCCUGGGCUGGUGCGUAGGUCGGAAAUUUUUUGUUUUGUGCUGCGUUACCCAUCAAAUUGAUGGGAAAUGAAAACUUUUUAUUCUGCCUUGUGUCACUCCUCCAUCCUCACAGUAACAAAGACAAGUAAAAAAAUGACUCAUACUCAGAUCUUGGUGGCUCGUCUUGAGCUUGCGUUCAUAAAACACUAAGCUUGCGUUCAUAAAACACUAAGUAAAAAAUGAAGAACUUUCAUAAAACACUAAGUUACCUCAAUGGGGAUUGCUACUUCUUGAGCUUGCGUUGGUUUUUUCCUUGAAGAGGAAAGGGUGAUGCAGCAAAGUAGAGAUAAGUAUUUUCCUCAGUUAGAGAACCAAGGUAUCAAUCCAGUAGGAGGGACAAGCAAGUCCCCAAUCUAUGCACCUGCACAAACAAUCAAACACUUGCACCCUACGCGAUAAAGGGGUUGUCAAUCCCUUCACGGUCAAUUGCAAAGGUGAGAUCUGAUAAAGAUAGAUAGAAAUAAAAGGUAACUAAAUAUAUUUGGGUUUUUUGGUUUAUAGAUCUGAAAAUAAAAGAUUGCAAAAUAGUAGAUCGGAAACAAGUAUGAUGGAAAAUAGACCUGGGGGCGUAGGUUUCACUAGAGGCUUCUCUCAUGAAGGCAAAUAAUACAGUGGGUGAACAAAUUACUGUCGAGCAAUUGAUAGAAAAGCGCAGAGUUAUGACGAUAUCCAAGGCAAUGAUUAUACAUAUAGGCAUCACGUCCGUGUCAAGUAGACCGACUCCUGCCUGCAUCUACUACUAUUACUCCACACAUCGACCGCUAUCCAGCAUGCAUCUAGAGCAUUAAGUUCAUAAAGAACGGAGUAACGUCUUAAGUAAGAUGACAUGAUGUAGAGGAAUUAACUCAAGCAAUAUGAUGAAAACCCCAUCUUUUUAUCCUCGAUGGCAACAAUUCAAUACGUGUCUCGCUACCCCUACUUUGUCACUGGGUGAAAUCACGCAAGAUUAAACCCAAAUCUAAGCACCACUCCCAUUGCAAGGAAAACCAAUCUAGUUGGCCAAACCAAACCGAUAAUUUGAAGAGAAAUACAAAGAUAUCAAAUCAUGCAUAUACGAAUUCAGAAAAGAUUCAAACAAUAUUCAUAGAUAAGCUGAUCAUAAAUCCACAAUUCAUCGGAUCUCGACAAACACACCGCAAAAGAAGAUUACAUCGGAUAGAUCUCCAAGAACAUCGAGGAGAACAUGGUAUUGAGAAUCAAAGAGAGAGAGAGAGAGAAGAAGCCAUCUAGCUACUAGCUAUGGACCCGUAGGUCUGAGGUAAACUACUCACUCUUCAUCGGAAGGGCAAUAGGGUUGAUGUAGAAGCCCUCCGUGAUCGAAUCCCCCUCCGGCAGAGUACCGGAAAAGGCCUCCAGAUGGGAUCUAACGAGAUCAGAGACCUGCGGUGGUGGAAAAGUAUUUUCGUGGCUCUCUCUGAGGGUUUUGGAAUAUAUGUGAAUAUAUAGGACGAAGAGGUAGGUCAGGAUAUCCCCGAGGGGUCCACAAGGCAGGGGGCGCCCCCCCUAGGAAGCAUCUCUGGUCUAAACUCCUAAUCCAAUUAUGCCCCACAAUCUAGUAUGUUACACCUACUACUUUUUAAAAUGUACUCUUUUGUUAUUUUGGUUGUUGGUAUCAAGAAUGAUUGCUUACAUGAGUUUUGGAGCGUGUGCUGACACACAUAUCCACUUAAAAAGACCAAUAUUUAUAUUAACUAAAAUCCGAGAGUAUGUACGAUUCAUAAAUGUAUGCGGUUAACAUGUAAUUGUGAAAGAAAAAAAAGGUCAAUAGGAAGCUCGCUUUCUGCUCUCAGGGUGGUGGCGGCUGGGUCGAUCCAUCUAUGCUCAUCCGGCCAUCAGCUGCAGCACUCGCCCCAUGAUGUAAAUAAUGCAUGGAUAGGAAGAUGAUGGUACGAGGGACAUCGAUCAUGUGUAGACUCUUCCCGCAAUUGCCUUUCGACCGGACCGACCCUGAGGCACGCUCCUUGGGCACCUCCUCUAAGGACGCAUGGCGGCAACCGGAUCAACCCUGAGGCGUGUCGUUGUUUCAGGGGAUGUCGGCCCUACAGUGCGGUAGGCAACGGAUCAUCGUUGAGAGGGAGGGGUUCAGGAGGAGGACGAUCUUUUUUUUUGUUUUUGUUUUUGCGCGAGGCAAGGGAGGUGGGUUUUCUUGUGCGUAUCUUCACUUUGACACGGCGGGCUUGCCAUGUCGGUGAUUUGAUCCCUCGGGCCUCCACCAUGGUUGGAUCCUCUACCUCUGCCGGCUCUCCGAUCGGGUCCAUCGAACGGCUGAUGCGGAAAGGGCGGGAAUUGUGCUGGACAGCGGCAUUGUGAGUGAAGAGGGUGUGGAAAGCGCGGGCUUUGGCGUGGAAAGAGUGUGGAUGUGGCCAAAUGUGUGGGCCCCACCAUGGUUUUGGGUGGGCCGGUGGUAUCGAAUUCCUAAGUGGCGGAUGUCUUGAUUCCUCCAAAGCCCCCUGGUUUGCUUUCGAUUUGCAGGAUUUCCGACAACCGGCCCGCUCCACAGACUGAUGAGAUACCAUGUUGGAUGACAUAAUGCGGCUGGACAGCUCGGCCCGGACGGUUGUGGGCGGUGGGUCAGCAUUGGAGAUGCCUUUAGUGGAGAUUGAAUAAUCAUGACUUGGAAUUCAAAGACCACAUUCGGGCUUGCUUGAGAAGAUUGAACAGAACAACACAAAUAGUUUAACAGCUUUUACAUCCAGGGGAACACUUGAUGGUCACACUUCUAAGCAACAAUGGUAUUGAAAUCGGCCAUCACAUAUCGCAAAGAGAGAUUAAUAGACCCACACAUCCUAUGCUGAAGACCUCCACUAAUUUCUUAUUAAAAAAUAUGUGCAUUUUGUAGUUGAAUUCCUAGAAUAAAAUUAGUAGUAUAUGUUAGCCUAGAGAGAAACCAAUGGUGACAACAUGCACGGGAAUGCUACUAAAAGUAAUAAAAUUAGUUUAUCAUAACCAUUUAGUCCCAGAUAGAUAGAUUUAAAAAAAGAAAAUAUAUUAAUAUCAUGAAGAUACCAAUUACACCUAGUCACUACACCUAUAAGAUGUCGCAAAAACAUUCAGGAUGCACACAGCCAAAGGAAAAAAAAGGAAAAGACAAAGGUCCUGCCACAUUGAUCGACUACCCUCAGCAGCCGCACACAAACUACCACCAAAUAGGCUAGAUCAUCAUUACAGACAAGCAGGGUGUAGUAUAUUACCUCAAUUCGAGGACGUGAACCUGGGUAUCUCCCUCAUGUGGAUAUUGUUGGGAAAUUAACAUUUUGGGAGUGCCUAGGCGCGACUGCUUUGGUUGCUUCCAAUACUUCCGGUAUAGCCAAAACCUCAUUUUCACCACCAUGGUCGCUGACUUUGUUGCACUCGAGUUUUCGUUGAAUUCGUAUAUUCCAAGCCGCUCCAUGUUGGCAUGCUAUUUUGGUUUCAUAUGUGACUAUGUUACAUGUUAGUAGUAUAUCGUAUAUGAUUUGUUAUAUCAGUAAACUUGUAAUGAUGUUACUCCCUCCGUCCACUUACAUAGGGUCUAAUAUGUUUUUCGAGUUUACUUUUGACCACUGGUUAGCACAAUGAUACAUGACAUGCAUGUUACACAAAGUAUACCAUCGAAUUUGUAUGUGAAAGAUGUUUCUAAUGAUAUAAUUUUUAUAUCAUACACCUCAUAUACUGAUAUUUUUAUUAUUGGUCAAAGGCUACAUCGAAAGACGUAUUAGACCCUGUAUAUAUGGAAGGAGCGAGUAAUUUGAAUGAAGCUUAAUAAAGAAUUGCUUAUAAUAUCCUAACAAAGUUCUCAAUGACACAAAGGAUACAGGGGCAUGAUUUUUCAACCGUUCAUAAUCUUGUACUACCACGCGGAGUAUGUAACAUUCAUAAGGGCAUGCAGUCGAUCGGGCCGACAAAUAGGGAUUUCUGUGUGGUAAUAAUGUGGGGUAAACCCUAGUUGACACAUGCAGGCGUCAACAAUUAGAGACAACGCCCGCAACGCAGUGAGAUGGGCCGACCCAGUUACAAGGAUUUGUGGGGUUUUUAUUUUUUAUUUUCUGUUAUUUUGUUUUGGGUUUUCCUUAGAUUUUUCUUCCUAUUUUGAAAAUGUUCUCUUUUUAGAAAACUGUUUGGAAAUUAAAAAAUAUAUCCAUAUUUUCAUAUUUUUUUGUAAAUUCCAAAUAAUGUUAGUGUUUUCAAAUAUUGUUUGAAAUUCCAGAAAAUAUCCAUGUUUUAAGAAGUUGUUCACAAAUUAAAAAAAUGUGUUUUCAAAAUUCUUCUCAAUUUCAGGAUUAUUUUUAUUUUAAAAUACUUGGUGAACAAUUUUCAAAUACACGAUGAUGCACAAUUCUUUGAUAUACGAUUACCUUUUCUUGAAUAUACAAUAUUUUCUUAAUUUACUUUGAAAAUGUUUUUAAUAGACACUGAGCAUUUUCUAAUAUAUAAUGAACUUUUUUAUAUACGAUGAACAUACUUUUGGUAUUAACUUUUUAAAACUAAUGCUGAAGAAUUUUAAAAAAUUUACGUUUCUGAUUGUAUAGGGGUUUUUACAUUGAUGAAUGCGUUUUGAAAUUGAAAAAAAGUGAAUCCAAUAAUAUAUUUUUAAUCUUAGAGCAUUUGUAAAAAUACAAUUUUUAUACAAAUUUGUGAAUUUGAAAUUUAAAUAUAUUUUGAAUCCUACAAUAUUUUCAAAUUCGCCAUUUUUUAUUUAAAAUAAUUUUUGAAAUCCAUGAACAUUUUGAAAUUCGUAAGUAAUUUUUAGAAAUCCCUGUUUGUUGGAAAUUUCAAACAUUUUACAAAAAAUUGAAAAAAUAAAAAAAUAAGUUUUGACACGAAAAAAUCCUCACGCGAGAAUUCAGCUUGUCCAUUGACACUCGCUUAUAAGCCCGCCAGACCUAGAUUGUAUUCCUAUGAACAUUAUUAUUCAAUAAAGCAAGUGUGUUUAGACUCAAAAAAUAAACUUCAGGCGUUGCUUCACCGGUCAGACGCCAAACACGAUGCCCCGUAGUUCGCCACAGAAAAAGAAGGGGGAGAAUAUCACAUGAUACCAACACUUAUAUGCUCCCAUGAUAUCAAUUCAAAAAUUCAAAUUUAAAUGUGUCAAAAAAUUCCAAAAAAUCAUGCUUGUUCUCAACAUAUGUGUUUACAAGCCCUACAAAAAUCAGAUCCAAAUUUGAGAAACAAAAAAGACAAAUCUAUUGUGAAUAGUGUAGUUUUUUUACACUAUUCAUGUUUUGUCUUUAUUGAUACUAUUCAUGCUGAAUUUCUUUUUUUUCUUUCUCAUUGCACAAUUUGAAUUUGGAUCUGAUUUUUUUAAGGCUUGUAGACACAUAUGUUGAGAACAUACAUGAUUUUUUUGGAAAGUUUUUGACACAUUUAAAUUUAAAUAUUUUGAAUUGGUAUCAUGGGAGAAUGUAAGUGUUGGUAUCAUGCCCAAGAAGAAGGUCUUCUAGUGACCCCCUCGCCUCGGCCCAACGUUCUGCUGCCACGCGCCCCUCUACCUCCAAGCGCAUGGAGAACCUUCAGGAACACUCUGCCGCCUGCCCCAUGGGCGCGCACAGCCCGCCACGAGGAGCGGCACGGACACGUUGCCGCGCGGCACCCCACACGUGUACCCACGCGCGCCUCCCCCGCUCCGUUCAUAAAACCGAGGCCCUCGGCUCCACCGCUCGGCACUUCUCUAUCGUAUCGCAGACUCGUAGUCCAGUACGCAGUACAUAGCAAGCAAGAGAAGAGAGCAGACCAGCUACGUGGGAGAGAUGGGCAGCAGGCUUGACGCGCGCACGCUCAAGGACGAGGUGGCGAGCAUGGACCGGCGCCCGCUCCUCGACCUCGGCCACCCGCUCCUCAACCGCGUCGCCGACAGCUUCAUCCGCGCCGCCGGAGUACGUGCCUUUUUUUAUCUCCACCCAACGUGCACGCAUGCUCUGCUCCAUUGUUUGCGAAUGAGCUCCGUGUUUUAGUUCAUCUGAUCUGACUGCUCCGGGCUGGUAUGAUGGCAGGUCGGAGCGGCGAGGGCGGUGUCGCGGGAGGCCUACUUCGUCGCCGUCGAAGGGAUGGGAGGAGACUCGACGGGGCUGGACAGCACCGCCAAGAGGAGCCAUUUCUCCAGCGCCAGAGGUGAUACCUCUUUUCUGGACAGUAGCUCUUUUCUCUGUUUACGUUGAGCCUGAGCUGAUGAAAUCGACUCUCCACAGGGGAUGACGGCCAGAAGUCGCUCGACGCAGUGGUAAGCUACCAGGCUUGCUUUUCAAGGCUCAAAUUAUCUGUUCCGAUAGCUAGUUCUUCUCCCUCUGACCACUAGCUCGCACCUUGAUUUGCAGGUUAAAUCGGCAAGCAAGGAGGCCAUUCAGUGGGGUUAGUAUUCAUUUCAGCGUUAACUAAUUAUUUCAUCUCAAACAUUUUUUUAGCACAGCUUCUAAUAUGUGUUGUUCUUCCGGCAGGAUUGGCAGCCGGAGUGUACUCUGGGAUAACGUACGGUCUGAGAGAGGCCAGAGGACACCAUGACUGGGUUGGUUUCUCGAUCUUCUAAAUUAUUUUUCUGCUUGCUGUUUUAGAUCAGCUAGCUUCGGAAUUAACUGGCUGCUAACUAACUUGUGCUUGUUAACCUUGAUGCUGCUGCAGAAGAACAGUGCGAUAGCAGGGGCGAUCGCCGGAGCGGCAGUCGCGCUGACCGGGGACAACGGGCACUCCGACCACGUCGUCCAUUUCGCCAUCACCGGAGCCGCACUGUCGAGCGCGGCGACCAUGCUCUCAGGCAUAUUCUAAGCCACGGGGUGUGGGGCUAGGGCUAAGAAAUUUGGAGCAACUCUUGAAAUGUCGUACUGUAUUUCCCUUAAUUUCUCCAUGUACCUUUGACAGUUUGUGCACUCUGUCCCAUCUGCUAGCUAGUCCUGGCACCAAGCAAGCCCGAAUUUCGUUAGAAUUUCGGCUGUAAUGUUUGUUCCCUUUGCUCUAUGUGUUCUAUUUAUGGCACUAUGCUCACGAGUUUGAGACCUCGAAUCCUCUAUGACCACAUGGAUGUCUAGAUGAGGAUAGAGUUGCUGGAGUAGUGUUUGAUAGGUUCUAUGGAUCGGAUAGGCUAGGAUUACGGCAACAGUGGUGGUAGGUAUUACCUUCUUGUGGCUCGAGGAGCUCCCGGUGCCGGCCAUGAUGACGGUGGCCGGUGAUGGCAGAGUAGGCAGAGUAGGGGUGGCGGUGCUUCCCGUCAGCACUGUAGGUAGGGUGUACGGCGUUGCGACGAACCUCGUGAGUCGAGCCGCCGGCCCCCACCUCUUUAUAUAGUGCAGGUGACAGGGGCCGUCAAUCAUAGUCGGUUGAGCGCCCCUGAUUAGGGCGCAGAUCUAAGGGCCCGGUGGGCCGUUGGGCCCACACGGUGGAGAUCAUCCUAACGUUUUCCUCCUUGAUCUCAACUUUUACUUUUGACCUUAUACUUUUACUUUACUCGUUUCAUAACAGAUCAAUACAUAGAACAUGUUUCAGAUCAAUACAUAGAACAUGUUUAAUUGCUGAUAAAAUCAGACAGCCACAACGUACCUCUUUGUUUUGAAACAAAUUCUUUAACCUUGGCCCUUUUUAUUGUCCGGAAAUAUUAGAAUAAAACCCAUGACUGUGUGUUCUUCGAACCCACUGGCGGUAAGCCUUUAAUAAGCAGAUCUGCAAACACUUGUGUGUUGUUUUUAUGCUUCAAGCAUUUCUACAUAAUUCCGGACUUUCUCCUUUACAACGCAUAACUCUGUGUCAGUGUGUUUGGCAUCAACACUUGACUCGUUGUUCUAGGAGCGAAAAACUUAAAAUGGUUAUCGCUGUUGUCAACCAUUACUAACUCCGGGUACAGGUCUCCUUAACCAUUUUGCCCGUCCCUCAGCCUCAUAUCAAGCUAUAAAAUAUCUUUGCAUCACAUUGAUGAUAAUUGUUUCAUUCUUUGAAGCUUUUCACACAAAAACCUUCAAAUAUAAAAGUUAGCGACAAUUGUGGAUUUCGCUAUACAUUUCACAUGUCCUGUCUUUGUACUCACAAUUUUUUGAGAGCACUUAUUUCUUUUAGCAUGAGGCCGAUAUCUUUGACUCCAUUCCAGUGAUCUAUAUAUGUACUGGACAUUGCCAAAACAACCCGGAUACGUGAAUUGUGUCAGGGUAAUAUAUUGAGCUUCCAACAGCUGAAGCAUAUGGUACCAUAUCCGUUUUCAAUCUUUUCUCAUCAACUUUUGAAACACCAUAGUUUCCAGUUCCAUUACCCUUGACUAUAAGAACAGGCGUAGGUUUUCUCGCAUGCAUACUUUAGAGACCUUUGUUAGCAUGUCCAUGCGACAUUCCUAAUGCCCCAUUUUAUUAUUUUCUUGGUGAAUCUCGAUAUUUAUAACAAGAGACACUCCAAGAAAUGCAAUUUUGAACUUUGAGGACAAGAACUUCUUUUCUCCUCCUGAAGUAGAUUAACAUCACCAUUAGCAAGUAGGACGUCAUCCACAUGCACAGGAUUGGGAAAUGAAUUCCCCAUUCUAUAACUUUGCAUGAAUACAAUUGUCCUUCCAUUUUCUUUAACCCAAAAUAUCAUCUGAUUCUUUAAACUUUAAAUGCAACUGUCUAGAGACUUGCUCUAGUCCAUAAAAAACUUCUUGAAGCAGUAUCCCUUGUGUUCUUUACAUUCAUCUGAUGUAACUCAGAUCAUGAUGUCGGUCAUGAUGUGCCACUGACACUCGUUGUAAUUUGUUCAUUCUCUUUGCACAAAAUCUUUCGAUUCAAGUCGCGCUUUACACCUUUACAUAUUUCCUUUGGAGUCACAUUGACCUUGUAGACCUUUUACAGCCUACUGUUUAUGCUCCAUUGGAAAUUACUUAUGAGUCCCAAACAUUGUCGGGAUUCACCAAUUUUAUUUCAUCUCACAUAGUCUCUUAUCAUUUAGACAAACAGACACUUCUCUAAGCUCGAUUGAGCACUUUAAAUGAGGUGAGAUCAACCUCGAUUUGAAUUUCACUAACAUAGACUUUAUAGUAAUCAGAAGUAUCUGAUUUUCUCAUUCCUUGAGACCAUCUGUGUCUCAGGUACUGGCACUUCUUUCAUAUGGGGCUGUUGUUGCUCUGUCAUUGCCAAGAGGCAAAUUAAUUCUAUGGUCUUUUAUUUCGAAGAGGCAAUAGGUUUUACAGGGACCUGUGUCACAAGAUCCAUGUGUACUCAUUCAUCCUUUAUAGAGCUAACAUCAGGUGUUGUUUAGGUCAUACAACAUGCUCCCCGAGAUUACUCCAUCUUCACUAAAAAUAGCGUAUCUUUAAACUUUAUUAUUUGGGUUUAUUCUAUUAAAACUUUCUUCUUUAUGGCACUUUAAGCACCGUCUUAGUAUUCCUUAGUCUGCUUUUGGAACUGUAAAAGAUCCGGGAAUACAGCUAUUUCUUUUCUUUAGGGGUAUUAUUAUUAUCGUCGUACUCCCCAAGACGAUCACAUUCUUCAUUAAUGGAUAUCUCAUAUUUCUUUCUCCCCCUCGAAAUGUGGUAAGAAAUUUUCUGCCACAAUUUCGAAAAACCAUUCACAACUCUUGUGAAUUGAGGAAACUUUGAUUAUCUACUUCAUUUAUCUGAUUACUUCAUACGUAAUGAAGUUAUCUGUUAACUGGUAUGGGAGUACUUUUUCCUCAUUCCAUUUCAGAAACUCAACAGAGUUCUUUAUCAUUAGUACUUUUGCAAGUCACACUUGCAUAUGAUUCUUAUCUUUAGUUUCGUCUGUAACUUUUAUUCUCUUCGGAUUUAUUGAGUGCUUAAUGACCGUUACACAUAAGAUGUACGGUUGAUACUAGGAAAGCAUAAUAGCUACUCCAUACUUUUCUCCCAGAGUGGGACACAUUAAAAGCACAUGAGUCAUCAUGUCUUUCUCCUGUCAUACAAGAUAAGUCUGAGAAAAUUUCUGCCGCCAUACGGGUUACGCAGGGAUUUUCCCAGACUUUUCCUGCCAUGCGGGUUUUAUCAUAAUCAUCUUUUCCCACCAUAUGGGUAAUUCCUUGUAAGGGACAAAAAUGCCAGAAUUGGCUCUUUUGACUGCAUAUUCAAUCAUCAAAAUUAUAAAUAAAUCCGAAUGCUCUUUGACACACAUGCUUGAUCCGACGUUGGUCAAAUUAAACACGCAUGUUGCUUGUUUUAUCUCAAAUCAUAGAGAGUAUAUGAAAGACAUUCGUCAACCAAGACUCUCAAUGAUCUAACUCUUUUCUUUUGAAACCAUUCUUUAGAGAGAACAUACUAUCUCACGUUAUGACCUUUCUUGGUCAUCUUUCGGGUCACAAGUACCCAACCAUUCGCUUUCAUGAAUGAAAGCAUGGAAAACUUUUAGUCUGAGAAAACUUAGCCAAUAAUCAACAAUAAUGAGCAUAAAAAUAACCCUACGUUGGUCUGGUUAAAAAAAUAUGCACAUUAAGCUUUUGCAAAACUUCCUUUUUAUACUCUAAAUCAUCGUUGUGGUAGAAUUAGAAUAAAACUCAUUCUUCUACAUUAAUUCCGUAUCACCGUUGGGUGGAAAUGGAAAUAAUCCAUAUAACUCAUAAACAAUGUGAUGAUAGUAUUUCUAUUAAACAACUUUGCUCAGAAAUAAUAAUCAUCAUCAACUUUAUUGCAGCGGAAAUAAGAAAUAUACAUUUCUCUAGUUCAAGAGCAUUUCUUUAUCUUUAACUGUUCUCUGAAAAUUGAUCACUUUGAUACAAAAUUUAUCAGAGAUUUAAGCUUUGAACAUAAGACUCAUAGAAUUAUAGUACUGUUAUCAUCAACGUUAGUUAGAAAAUAACAUUACCAUAUUUUAACUUUAAAACAAAUAUCUUUCUUUUGUCAUAGCGGAAGCUAUCUGAAUCUGAUUCAUCCACAGGGGAAAACAUUGCUAAGAACAGUUUUUCCAAUUAAAUUUUUCCGUUGGUUCCAAUUUAAUUGGAGGAUAAAACUUUUUCUUUGCAGAAGAAACUUUCAAUAUUCUAUGCAGAAACAAUUCUGUACUCUUUUACUCUCUAAGCAAUUUUAACCGGUUGGUUCAAAAAAGCAUUAGAGAAGCAACAAUUUAAUCUUUUAUUUUAGUUCUAUUCACUUUUAAAGGAGCACUUUUAUUUUUAUAUGAAGCAGAAAAAACAUGAAUAGAAAAUUCAUGAACCUAUUAUUCUUUACAGAAAAAUUUUCCUUUUCUUUAAAAAAAACACUUUUAUUGUUUACAUAAACUUUUCUUUUUGCCAACUAAAUUCAUGAACUUUAUUAUUUUCUUUUAUUAAAAUUCAUGAACGUUUAUUUUUCUGAAAAAAAUUUAUUUUCAUUUUCAGAAACUGUUCUACUUUUUUCUUUUAUAUAUUUUCUAAACAGAAUUUUCGUUGGAAAUUUUUUUUGAGUAGAAAAAGGAAACUGUAUAAAAUGGACUGGCCCUGCCUCGGCCCAGCGCGCAAGGCUGCUGGCCUCGGUGCAGCGCGCUGCUACGGCCACGGCACAGCACGCAGCUGCAGCCACGCCCAGCGCUCAAGGCCCGCAGCGGAGGAAGCGGCCCAUGGCCUGCUCCCCGCGCCACGCCGGGCGAGGCGGCCUUCCUCGGCCUAGCCCGCGAUCACUUUCGGCCCAAAAGGCCAGUGGGGAGGCUAGGGUUUUAAUCCAAACCGUUCAACGCGAUCGGACGGUGGACCGCCGUUCUCGCUCGAACAAAAACAGGACAGAGUCCCAGACCCGAAACCUAGCGCCCCCAUUCUUUUCUCUGUUCGAUCUCUCUCUCUCCCUCAGACGGCGGAAAAAAGGGGCUGCGCCCCGGCCGUCCGGCCCGGCCGCCGGCGGCGGCGCAAAACCACCGCGCCGCGCCGCGCCUCUCUUCCAUUGCCCCUACUUUGAUAGAGAGAGAGGCGCCGGUGGAGGAGCUUCGCCUAGGCCGCCAGCAACAGCAUCAAAACCACCAUGCCGCGCGAGCCUGGGCUCCUCCCAUCUCUUCUUCCCCUUCCUUGUUUCUCUGUUUCUCCACCACCCGCAUCUCCUCUCUAUGUCACCGAGGACAACGACGACAUGAAGCAGCGGUGCCCCUUCUGUCCCCCUUGCCGGUGUGCGCGAGCUCCCGUGGGAGAGCGCGCCGCCGUCAAGCGGUGCGGUGGUGGUGCCCUUUUGCCCCCUUGGGGAGGCCGUGUUCUUCUUCCCCGCAGCUUGGCUUGCCGAUGCGUGUGGGGAUCGAGAGGAACGGCACGGCCUUGCGGCGGCGCACUUUGCCGGCGAUCACGAGGCCCUCUCCGGUGAUUUCUUUGCCCUGUAACUUCAGGGUUCUUGUGGGAGCGGAAAGUUCUUUGAUUUGCACCGAAAUCCUCAACCGAAACAUGGCUGAUACCAUUGAUAGGUUCUGUGGAUCGGUUAGGCUAGGAUUCCGGCAACAGUGGUGGUAGGUAUUACCUUCUUGUUGUGGCUCAAGGAGCUCCCGGUGCCGGCCAUGAUGACGGUGGCCGGUGAUGGCAGAGUAGCGGUGGCAGUGCUUCCCGUCAGCAUUGCACUAACCCUAGAUCGGUAGGGGAUUAGGUAGGGUGUACGGCGUUGCGACGAACCUCGUGAGUCAAGCCGCCGGCCCCCACCUCUUUAUAUAGUGCAGGUGACAGGGGCCCGUCAACCAUAGUCGGUUGAGCGCCCCCGAUCAGGGCGCAGAUCUAAGGGCCCGGUGGGCCGUUGGGCCCACACAGUGGAGAUCAUCCUAACAGUGUUCUGCCGUGAGAUGCAAUGUUGUGUCUGAGAAGCCUGCAUGAGCAAGGGCACGCUAUGUUGCGGAGCAGAGUUUAUGCAAUUUUUGUUUCCGGAGGUUAAACGUGAACAGGUGGUGCCUCUUCUGGCCCAAAAACCCACACUAUGUUGCCUAGCAGAGUUUAUGCAAUUUUUGUUUCCUUAGGUUAAGCGUGAACAUAGUGAGGAGGUUAAGCGUGAACAUAGUGUGGAGUUUAUGCAAUUUUUGUUUCCGGAGUUUAUGCAAUUUUUGUUUCAGGCCCAAAAUUCAUCUUCAACCGAUAAUGUAGAACUAACUUGCAUUUCUCCAAGACCAAAGAACCCAUCUUCAAAACCAAUCUUCAACAGAUAAUGUAAAACCCAUCUUCAACAGAUAAUGUAGAUGCGGAACCCAUCUUCAACAGAUAUUGUAAAACAUACAUGCACCCAACAGAUAAUGUAGAUACAAAUUUCAGGAAAAACAUACAUGCACCCAACAGAUAAUGUAGAUGCAAAUUUGAUAAUGUAAAACAUACAUGCACCCAACAGAUAAUGUAGAUGCAAAUUGGAGGAAAAACAUACAUGCACCCAACAGAUAAUGUAGAUGCAAAUUUGAGGAUGUAUAACACAAACACUUGGAGAUGUAAAUUUAUAUAUAAUGCAAAACCUAUCUCCAGAUAAUGUAGAUGCACCCAACAGAUAAUGUAGAUGCAAAUUUGAGGAUGUAUAACACAAACACCUGGAGAUNNNNNNNNNNNNNNNNNNNNNNNNNNNNNNNNNNNNNNNNNNNNNNNNNNNNNNNNNNNNNNNNNNNNNNNNNNNNNNNNNNNNNNNNNNNNNNNNNNNNNNNNNNNNNNNNNNNNNNNNNNNNNNNNNNNNNNNNNNNNNNNNNNNNNNNNNNNNNNNNNNNNNNNNNNNNNNNNNNNNNNNNNNNNNNNNNNNNNNNNNNNNNNNNNNNNNNNNNNNNNNNNNNNNNNNNNNGUAAAACAUAUCUUCAACAGAUAAUGUAGAUGCACCCAACAGAUAAUGUAGAUGCAAAUUUGAGGAUGUAUAACACAAACACCUGGAGAUGCAAAUUUACAUUAUACAGAUAAUGUAGUGUAGAUGCACCCAACAGAUAAUGUAGACGCAAAUUUGAGGAUGUAUAACACAAACACCUGGAGAUGCAAAUUUACAUAUAAUGUAAAACAUAUAUCAGUUGGAGAUGCAAAUUUACAUAUAAUGUAAAAUCUAUCUUAACAGAUAAUAUAGAAUAUGUAGAUGCAAAUUUGAGGAUGUAAAACACAAACACCUGGAGAUGCAAAUUUACAUCUCCAUUUACGGGAGAUGUAGAAUAAGCGGGUGUGUCAAAUGCACGACUGCGUUCAUUUGGCCGCCCGCCGACGGCAUGGCCAACGCUGAUGACUCCAUCGUCUCCACCGCAGCUGGCACGGCCACUUUAUCCAAUCCAGCGUCCACCUCCAUGCCGUCGCCGUCAUAGUGGUGUCCCGGUUUUGCCCCACCCCGACCGCCCGACCGGUCGUGCAACCCGCCAACGAAGAAGCAGCGGGCCACCAAGCCCCGCGAUGGAGGCAUGAAGCGGCCAGCGACGUGGGGGGCAAUCCGAUGUGGAAUGACCAAUAUGGGGCGGCCAAGAAUUUGAUGUCGGACGCGGCUGCGUCAACCAAUCAGCUGUCGCCGGCGGCCUUGGCAUCCGUUUCCGGCCAAGGAGCCCUUCCUCCACCUUCGCCAUUGCCACAGUCGGCCAUGGAGGAAGAUAUAGUCACGCCCACGACCACCGCAUCCAACCUGUUCGACAAAAUGUAGCAAAGGUAAAAAAAUCAUUUAAAUUUUUUGUGAUCUUGUUUGUUCUUUCAAUUUUUGACACGAAUAAAAUGUGAGGUUGAUUACGUGUACGUCCAUUUGUAGUCUUGAUGAUGAACUUUCAUGCGUGCGACAAAUGCGUCAAAUGAUGAUUAUUUCUCUCAAAAGUAUGCAUCACAAGAAUAUAAUGCUCAAUUUGAUGAUGAUAAUCUUGACAUGGGCGAAGAGGGCUUCGUUAUGAAUGGAAGAACCGUAAAUUAUACCAACACUGAAGAUGUGUUGAUUUGCAUCGCAUCUAAAAAGUCUCUCUUGAUUCAUCCGUUGGGACCGACCAAGCCGGGAACACGUAUUGACAACGCAUCGAGGAGUACUUCGAUGAGCGCAACACUAGCGGCCAUUUUCGAUCAAGGGGCUAUUCGUCAACGUUGGGGCACCAUCAACACCGAAUGCCAAAAGUGGGCCGGUUGCUUGGCAAAUGUUGAGCGCAUGAACCCGAGUGGUUGCGGUGAUAGUGACUUGGUAAUCAUUUGCUACAUGUGUGCUUUCUCUACUUUUCGCAAAUAUUCAAAUGCUCCCUAAUUUGAUGAUGACAUCUUGAUUGUUUUCUUGUAAAAAAUUAUUGCGUAAGGAUUAUUUCGAGAGAGGAACAAUAAAAAAGAGAAGAGGAAGAAUAAAGGAAAGGCUUUCCCUUUCCAUAAUUGCUACAAAGAGCUCAAGAAUGAGAAGCGGAAAACUAGAGAAGUUUUUUAUGCUUCAAAAAAGUAAAGCGUGAUAAUGAAGGAUGAAGAAGAUGGCCCCGGAGAGGAGAGAAGGAGCCCCACUCCUCAUCCAGCGACUAAAUCAUAUAGGCCCGAUGGAACUAAGAAAGUGAAGAGUUUCAAAGCCAGAGACAAUGAUCUUAAAGAAGGGUUUGACUUCAUUCUCGUUGCGAGGAAAGAGUAUGCCGAAGAAAAAAAUUAUUGCAAUUAAAAGAAAUCGAGGAGGGCGGAGAAGCGUAGCGGCGGAGGGAGACGGUCGGGGAUAAGAGGGUGGCGGUCGAGGAGAGGUUGGUGGCGGUGAAGGAGAGAAAGAUUGAAUUAGAGGAGAGGAAGGCGGCGACCAAAGAGUACAAGAUGGUGGAAUAGAAGGCACUUAAGUUUAUGUUCAUGGACACAUCUACUCUUGAUCCCAAGGCAAAGGCGUAUGUCGAGAUUUGUUGUGAUGAAAUGAGCAUGAAAAGCAAAUGCUCAUGAGAAACAUGAUGCGAGGAGGAAUGGGAGGUGCCAUGGGAGCCAUGGAUGAAAUGGGAGGUUGCAUGACAGGAGGAAUGGGAGUGGAAUGGGUGGCUACAUGAAUAUGAUGGGAGGUGCCAUGAAUGGUGCAUUUGGUGGCAACAUGGGAGGUGGCUUUGGUGGCAACGUGGGCGGAAAUGAAGGUGGCUUCGGUGGCAACGUGAGUGGAAUGAGAGAUGGCUUCGGUGGCAACAUGGGCAUGGGAAGUGGCAAUGAAGGGGCUUUCGGUGGAGUUCACGACAACGAGACUUCAACUCAUGAAAACGUUGACAAAGAAGCCAUUGACAAUGAUAAUCAUACCAUCGUCCAUAAUGUCGCUAGUGACAAUGGAGAGGAUGAAAAUUGAGUGUUAUGUUUGAUGUUUAUGUGCAUUUUAAUUUGUUGGACCAAGAACUUUGUUUGAGACAAUUCACUUUUCGUUGUAGGAUUUCAAACUUUUGAUUGAUACGCUGCACUUUUAUUGGUAGAAAUCUGAAAUUUAUUGCUAUUUUUAAAUGUUCAAGCGGCGGUACAGCAGCCACGCGGCCAUUAGCAGGUUUUACAUCUUCAUUUAAACUUUUACAUCAUCAAUUUACAUCAUUUGUUGGAGUUGCCUUUUUUGAGAUAUAAAAUGCACUUUUUGUGAUGUAGAUUUUACAUCUCCUAGUUUUACGUCUCUAAAUUUGCAUUUUAUUGAAGAUGCUCUUAAGACACAAAUGUGCUCUCUGACACUAAAACUGGAUAAACCUCCUGAAUGGGUACAGAAUAAAGGAUUGGCUAUAUGUCAGUCAUCUGUUUUUUUUAAGAAAUUUUGGGCUAGUCAAUCUCCCUUCUUUCUCAACCAUUGGAUCAAAAUUCAACGGUUAUCUUCAAUCUCCAGCCGUUGUUUCUCUUCUUCCUCUCUCACCACGCCCGAUCUAGCCUAGGCUUCCGCGACCGACGGCACUCCUGCCUCGCCGCACAGCCAUCCUCUGAAACUCCCCCAUCGUCAGUCUUGUUGUCGCCCCCCGACCAUCCCUCUAAGCCUGACGACCACCUAAAAAAAUCUCCGCCGAAGCAGCACCCCACCCGUCACCCUAAGAUAGAUAGUGAGGUUGCUUCUUCGACGAAUCUACACCCGUCACCCUAAGAUAGAUAGAUAGUGGGGUUAUUCCCCAUCAUCGGUGGCCUUGCCUUCUACUUCUUCAUCUUUAUCGGUGCUUCCUUCUUCAACAUUUGUUAGACAUAUAAAAGGUUCUAAUCUUUUUCUGUUGUACCUUAUAUAGUCACAUCACCAAGUAAUUUGACCAUUAUCUCACCGGAAUUUGUGCCGAGGCCGAACACCGGAUAGCUUGACCAUCAUCUCAUCGGAAUUUGUGCCGAGGGCGUACACCGGAUGCCUCUGGAGGGUACGGUCUGGAUGAACAAUAUGCUCACCCUUGAUAAGGGUUGGGCCCCUCACCGUUUAUCACAAGGUGAUCAUCUUGAACGACAAAUGCGUUUAUCACAAGGUGAUCAUCUUCAACGACAAAAGGCGUUGAGGUGGUGGCCAAGUGUAAGGAGCACGGUGAUACGUCUAUUUUGCAUCAUGUUUUUAUGUUGAUAUUUAUUGCAUAUUGGACUAUUAUUACACUUUAUGAUGGAAUUCUUAUGCCUUUUCUCUCUUAUUUUACAAGAUUUACAUGAAGAGGGAUAAUGCCGGCAAUUGGAAUUCUGGACCGGAAAGGAACAAAUCUGAGAUACCUAUUCUGCACAACUCCAAAUGUCCUAGAAUUUUAUGGAGAAUUAUUUUGGAAUAUAUAAAAAAUAUUGGGCGAAGAAAUAACAGGAGGGGACCCACCAGGUGGCCACAAGCCUGGGGGGCGCUCCCUACCCCCCAGGGCGCGCCUCCCGAGCUUGUGGGCCCCUUGGCCAGCGUCCGGUGCCCAUCUUCUGCUAUAUGAAGUGUUUUGACCUAGAAAAAAAAA